UAGGCAAGUUCUUAGCUGUCUGGUAAAUUUUCCUGACUUUCAUUGGUUGGUGCUGCUGUCCCUGGAGUCUAACGGCCUUGGCAGCUUGUUUCAAGGUGGGGCAAACGCAAUCUGGGUCUUCUGGCGAAGCUCGCUGCAGCACUUCUGGAGUAGCGAGGGUCUCUGCGGGUUCUCGAUGUCGUCUUCCUAAUCGAACUCAUCGUCGAGGGAAGGACCACCACCAUGGCCUUGUCUCAUUUGCUUGCGCAUCAAUCGCUGGCAAGCUCUAAGGUGUUGUUCUUUCUGAAACUCCCUCUGACAUUUCUGUCUUGGGCCUAUGGGGUUGCUGGCGUCAUAGUUCGACGACAGUGCGGUAGAUGGAAGCGUUGGUGAGGAGGAAGCAGAGAGCGAGAGAUGUGCAGACGAGGACGAGUUUGUUCGCCAUUUUUUGCUACUAACUUAGGUAUAUUUUUUGUUUGAGUGAAGAGUGAAAUGAAGGGGUUAUGGGUAUUUAUGGACAAGUGAGGAGUUUGGCAUGGAGAUCACGUGUAUGAAUGCAUGCACAGCAAUAAAAAAAUAAAACAUUUCAUGCAUGUGAUUAUGUGUUAUGUGAGCGCGAAAACACCUCCAAUUUGAUUAUGUGUUAUGUGAGCGAAUGCAUGCACAGCAAUAAAAGGUUGUUUUCGCGAUUAGGUGUUGGAAACUCAAAUUGGAGGUGUGACAAGUCAUGGACAACACCUAGUCUCCGAAAGUUGCACAUAUUAAGAGCAUCUCCAAUGGUGAGAGUCCCCCAUGGGCUCUCACCAAUUGUUUAAACAUAUUUUUUUUUGAAUUUUUAGAUGAGAACUUGGGGUUUUUUUUUUUAAUUUUCAUAGUCUAAUGGUAGUUUCUCUUGUGGGGUUCUUAAAAUUUUUUUUUUUUAAAAUAUUUUGAUUUUGAUGUAAUAUGAUGUUUGGUUUUGAUGUAAUUUGAUGAAUUAGGACAAAGUAAUUGGUGUAAUUAGUGUUUGGUGUUUCAAGAGUUCAUAAUCACAUCAAAAACUUGUCAAAUGCAAAAAAUAGAUUCAUGAUCUACACAUAUUAAACUUGUCAAAUGCAAAACAGAGAUUCAUGAUCUACACAUAUUUUGAUUUGAGUGUCUUGUCUCCUACUUGGCCUAUACAAGACAGAUUUGGUGUCUUCUACAUCAAAAACACAUUCAAAACAAAGCACGUUCAAAUUUAAUAGCAUAGACAAUUCACAAGCAACAUUGAACUUGCCUUCUCCACUGCCUUUCUCCUCUUGGCUUCUCCAUUUGCAGUUCUCCAUUUAUACUCAACAAAAACAGAGAGAAAUAAAGCACAUUAGCAUAAACAAUUCACAUUCAAAAACUAUAUAUUGAUUCAACAACCUAAUCAAACACAACCAACCACACUUUCUAAUUUCUCAACAACCAACAAAAUUGUUAGGCUACAAACGUUUAGAAAACGGAAUCAAAACGUCCAUGAGCUUCUUGAAUCUCUCUUUAGUGCUCUCUUCAAUCUCCUUCAAAAGCUUCUCAUUCCCUUCCUCUAAUUUCGCAGCCAAAGUCUCUAACUCAACUUGAUAAGCUUGUUUCCUCUCUCGAGACCUAGCAGCGGAUUCACGGUUCUUGAUCAUCCUCUUCUGUCUUUGAGCUGCAGCUUUAUCCAUUGCCUUCGUCAUCACUCUCCCUCUCUUUCCUCUCAUUCCUCCUCCUCCAACCAUUGAUCCUUCAAUCAUCUGAAACGAACUGUGUUGCUGCGGCUGAGACAUCAUUGGAAAAUCGAAUGUAUAGCUACCGUCGUUGCCUCCGUCAUCACUCUCCCUCUCUUUCCGUUGUUAACGUUGUUCCGAUCCUUUGUACCAAAACGUGAAGCUUGAAGUUGGUUGUUCUCAGGGCAGACCAUAGGAGUUUAACCUAGCAUUGCCAAACCUGUUAUUUAGAUUAGUGGAUUAGUGGAGUUCACAAUUAAGAAACUGAUUCCAAACAGAAAUAAAGACCUUAAUUCAAGAGCAGCAACAUCAUUAAACUCAGUAUAUGCUUCUAAGGUUAAUAAACUGAAUCAAAUACACCUAGAACAUUACAAUCAAGUACUUAUCAUACAACUAGGCAAGUUAUCGUAUCUCUGCUUCUAAGUUAGUUUCCACGUUUUACCACAAUGUUUUAUACAUAGGUUCAUACAUAUAAAGCUCUCAUGAUUUAGAAUCAAACAAAAACUACCUUUCGAUUACUCCAUCAAGGCAUGAUCUUCUUCCCAAGAAGCAAGAUGCACACACUCACACUAUCACCCACUUAAAGAUCUUGUUCAACACUAGAAAGUAACUUUUCUUUUGACUACUUCAGAAGCAGCUGAAAGAUAUGAUUACAACAACAAAACCCAGCGUUUUUCCAGCAAAUUCUAAAAUGAUGGAACACCCAAGAGAGAAAAAAUAGCAUCUUGCGUGAUGAUAUCAAAGAGUAUCAUCUCCAAACUAGUUUGAGCAAGUUUCAAAAAUCAGUUUGAUCAUCUUCAACCUAAGCUACACAAGAUCAAUUUGCAAAUAGUAAACUUAAAAUUCCCACCUCACAAACAUAUCUACACACAAAAAUUCCAUGAAACCUUAAGGAACCCCAGAAACAACAAAACGAAAACCCUAAUUAUGACAACUAAUUGCGCAAAUCUACACACACAAAAUUGGAGGAUUAACGCAGACAACAAAACACCACCCGAAGCAAGUUUUCCAAUUUCAUGGAGAAAUUGAUAGUGGGGAAAGCUUUAAUCUAAACCUAAUUUAUUAUUUGAUGAUCGAGACGGCGGAUGAUGAUGAUCGAGACAUGAUCACAAAUCUCCUCUGUUUUUGCAGUGGGAGAGAAAGAGAGGAGGAAGAGAGAGAGAAAACACGAACGUCGUUUUUUUGUUUCCUUUCAUAUUAAACGCAUUGACUCACACGACGACACGUCAGCGGCUCUCUCUGAUUCUCAAAUGUCUCUCAAGAGAAUCGGUUCUUUGAUUAUUUAGUAGUUUUGAUUUAUUUUAAUUGCAAUUAAACAAGAGAACCCCACAAUUUUUACUUGAAAACCUUGCUUUGGAGAUGCUCUUAUUAUAUCAUGAAAAAACAAAAAAAAAGUCCAAAUAACUAUAAUUUUUGGUUAUUAGUUAUUAGCAUAUACAAGAGUUAGUAUACAUACUUGCAUAGUCUAAAUGUGAUGUUUUGUAUAUUUAUACUAGCAUUUUUGCAACACUUUGGUGACGGGUGGGUAAAAAUGCUUCUGGGUUAAUCAGAUAUCCGACCCGUUUUUUAAAAUCCUUCACAAAAAAAUUGUUGGAUCGGAUUAUAUUUAACCCAACUCAUACACCGGAUAUUUCAUAUUUAAUAAUUUAGAUAUUUAGAAGAUUUGAUUAAGAUUUAGAAUUAUGAUUCUCCUAUUAUCUUUGUUUGAUUUGUUUUUAACUGUUUUGAAUCAUCAUAGAAUACAUAAAAGUAAAAAAAAAACCAAUUUUUUUUUCUGCAUAUACUGUGAUUCGAAAUUUUUAAAACGGACAUAUAUUAUCUAAUUGACGAAAAUGUGUGUUCAACGUUCUACAUCGAUUAAAAUAUUUAGAUAAUGAUUCAGAAUCAUAUCAUAAAUAAGAUCAACAUUAAUAAAAUAAAUGAGUUUUUUAGCCAGACGGGUUUGGCGGGACGGGUUUUUGAAUCAACAAAUAAUAAAAAAUUAAAAUAUCAUUAAUCUGCCGCUUCAAUACGGAUUAAAUCUUUUUUUUAAUACCACCAAUAUUAGACAUAUUAAAUCAGUCUCAUUUAGAAAAGAUUGUAUAAAACCAAAAAUUGUCCCGUGGUAUAAUGUUACUUAAUAACAAUAUUUAUAAAAUUUAAAUAUCAUUAACAUGCCGCUUUAAUACAUAUUAAAUCUUCAGUUUAUUAAAAUAUAAAUGUCUUAGAGAAUGAUAUGAUUUGUAAACUUUUAUAUAUAAUAAAUAAUCAUUAAAUAUUAAAAUAAAAACAAAUAACGGGACGGGUUGAGAAAUUACGGAACGAGUUAUAUUUCGGAAAAGAUUUAUAUGGCGGACGAAUUUGAAUCAAUAUUUAUAUACCGCUUUAAUACGGGUUAAAUCCUUAGUAUAUUAAUAAUUGUCUCGUGGACUCUUGGUAUACCGUUACUUAAUAACAAUUGUAAACAAUAAUAUAAAUAAAUAUGUUAUAAGGAGAUACAAUUUACAAAAUAUUUUUAUACUAACUUUAAAAUUAAAUCAUCCCGCGAUGUACCGCAGGUUAAAAUCUAGUAUAAUAUUAUAACUUCAAGAAAUCGCUAUUUUGGAUGAACAAGAAAUUAAAACUUUUCCAAAUCACUAGCUCCCGCGACAUGUCAAUCAAUAUUGUUUUGUUCAUAAGUUUUUUAAUAAACAAUACUGUAUUUGUUAUGACAUCUCCUAGUUCGAUCGGGCCUGAAGUAUUGUCUGGUUUAAUUUGGUUUCGGUUUAGUUCGAUUGGUUAAUUUGAUAAAAUCUAAAUUUGAAAUCGAUGUAUAUAUUCUUUUUUCUUUAUUUUUAUUCAGAAUGAAUUUGCAUCUACUAAUCAUAGAGUAGGCUUUAGUAAAUAGGAGACCAGUACUGGUUUAAUAGGACGGCAACAUCAGUAAGCUAGUUAAGUAGUUGCAUAAAAAGAAAUUAAGUAGAUGAGUUUAGUAAUUACAUCGAGGAAUUGGGAAUGAGAUACGUUCUUGCCACCAAAAAGAGAUUCCAAAUUGGUAAGGGCCAUAUCUUCGUUGGGCAGUUGAGAAUAAGUCUUGCCUGAGUCAUUUUUUCGAUCCUUAUUUGGAACUUGAUAAACAAACCUCUCAUUUAUUACGGUGUAUAGUGCUAAUUACAUUAGCCUCAAACAUCCUAAGCUUACAGUUUUAUAAAACACACACGAUGACUGUGUAUAGUAUUAACAUACAUCAAUAGCCACACUCAUGAUCAUCGUGCUAGGGCUUGGAAUCUAGUAGUAAGGAGGGAAGAAAGGGAUGGUGCUCUGGAAGGGACAUUCACCAACUUGCUGGAUUUUGCAAACGUUAGGCAAGUACUUAGCUGUCUGGUAAAUUUUCCUGGAUUCGAAUGGUCCGUGCUGUCCCUGGAGUCUAACAGCUCUAGCCGCCUGUUUCAAGGUGGGGCAAACGCAAACUGGCUCUUCCUGGCGAAGCUCGUUGCAGCACUGCUGGAGUAGCUGGUGUCCCUGCUGGGGGCCCUGUGGGUUCUCCAUGUCGUCUUCGAAAUCGAACUCAUCGCCACGACCUUGCCUUGUUUGCUUCUGCAUCCAUCUCUGGCAAGCUCUUAGGUGCUGUGAUUGCUGGAACUCCUUCUGGCAUCUCUGUCUUGGGCCCAUGGGGUUGGUGGCGUCAUCUUCCUCGAACUCGACGACUGUGCGGUAGAUGGAAGCGUUGGUGAGGAGGAAGCAGAGGGCGAGAGUUGCGCAGACGAGGAAGAGCUUGUUUGCCAUUUUUUGCUAUUUGUGUAUGUUUUCUUGUUUUGGUUUGAGUGAAGAGUGUAGUGAAGGGUUGGUUUUUAUUUAUAGGUGACAAAGGAGAUUUGCAUGGCAAUCACGUGUAAGAAUGCAUGAGUGUGUGUGGAGUCAUGGAGAGAGAGAUUCUCUUACGUUGUUGUCGGGAUUAGGUGUUGGAAAAGAGUGACAAGUGACGAACAAUACCACUCCUAGGCUCCUAGCUCCGCUUCUGCAUGCUAUGUGUGAUUUGUAGCUCAUUUUCUGACAUGACAUUAUGAACGAUUAUAUUUUUUAGAAUUAAGAAGGUAAAACUUUUUUAGUAAAACACACUUUUAAUUUGGUUUUGAUCGAAUGAGAUGCGAAUUCAAUCUUUUGGUGGUAGUGCUGUUGGAAAUAUAGUUUUGUGAGCUUAAUCAGAAACUUAGAAUUUUAAAAUAAAUCUAUAUAGUCACGCAGGCCCGGCUCACUCAUCGGUAAGACCCGGUGCCAUACAAAAAAAAAUCUUAUCUUUAAUAAAAAAUUUAUAUAUAUAUAUAUAUAUAUAUAUUUACAAAAAGUUAUAUUUCAUAAAUUAUUUUGUAUUUUAUAGCUAUUUGGACAUGUUAUUUUUGUUUAUUAAUUUUGGGGCUCAAUAUUACCUUUUAAAAUAAAAUUUUGGGACCUUUACAUAUGGAUAUUGUAUAAAAUUUCAGCAUAAUUAAAUAAUUAAAUAAUAAAAAAACUAUGAAUUUGGACCUUAAAUUUGUUGGACCCGGUGCAAAUGCACCACUUGCACAUGCCAAUAACCGGCCCUGUAGUCACGGUUCACGAACCAUGUAAUAAAAUUUUAUAAAAUAUGAGGGAUAUAUAUUAAAAAAAAAUUCAUAAAUAUUUAACCCUCUAAAUGACUCGUACAAAAAAUACAAACAAUAAGUAAUUUAUCUCUUACAUAAAAUCAGUGGUAAUAAAUUAAAGUUAAGAAAUAAAACCGAAAUAUGUGAGACACACACAUAAUUAGAGGUGUCAAAAACUCAAAAUGCGUCAAAAUUAAACUUAUAGAUUUACCAAAACAUUAUAACCCAAACCGUGAACUACAAGUCAAAGAAAGUAUCAGGAACCAUGUUUUGACUGAAAAUUCAAAAGAGAGAGAUGAAGAGAAUGAGAAGAAGAUAUACAAAAUAUUUUACGAAUUCUGAAUCGAGAGUUAGUACAUCGACUAGUUCAAUCUAGCAAUUACUAUGUUUUUCAUUUCAAAGAGUUAGAAUGACUCAAAGAUAUGAAUGAUACAAAAUCCGAUCCAUAAGACCCAUUAUAUUCUCGAACUUUCCAACCACGUUUAGCUUAAACCAAAGUAAACCCUUUCAAAACCAGACUAAUGGCUCUUUCAGAAAUCUGCAUGCAGCUCUUAACCAGAACUAAUUGUGUUCCCAGAACAACAUCAACACGUUUUUACAAGACAUUGUUUUCUCUGUUUGUUUGAUUGGUAACGUUUUACACUCUUGACCACAAUGGCUAGCCCUUUUUUACAACAAUUGUUAGCGACUAUCGGUCAAACCGAUCAUGUAUGUAAAUUAUAUCAUUUUUGAAUUUCGCUUCCACGGGAUCAUAUCUAAUGUACAAUUAAAUGGCAUGUCUCUUCCACUUGAUGGCGUGCAAAUUCUUGAGGCCAAAAUAGAUAUUAAAACGCACGUGGUAGGGCGGUGGUAACUGGGACUAUGGUGUAAAUACAGACCAGCAUGAUGCUUCAUUCUUAUAGAGAACAAAUUUUCUGCGUGUUGGAUCACUUGGAACUGUGCUUUGGUCAAGUGUUUUAUCCAUGGUGUAGUUUGCCGCACACUCUUGCAAACAAAUUAUUCACCCUUGAAAGUAGUCAGCGCAUAGCCCUAAGUUUUAGUAUGUGUGCAGUGCCGGUCCGGUGAAAUCCGGGGCCAAAUACGAAAAGAAAAAUUGGGGUUUUUUUUAAAAGUAGAAACUGCUAAAAAAUUUUUUUUUGCUAAUUAUGGAGCAUUUAUAAUUUUUAUUUAACAAUUUUUCUUAAAUUUUAAAGAUUUUUUGCUAAUUAUGAGGCCUUUUUGCUAAUUGUGAAGUCUUUUUUUGUUAAUUUUUGAGGCCUCUUUUACUAUUUUGAAGCUUUUUUUUGUUAAUUUUUGAGGCCUCUUUUACUAAUUUUGAAGUCUAUUUCAUAAUUUUAGGGCCUCAAAAAAAAAAAAAAAAAAUUCUUCACAAAAUGAGCCUCGAAAAUUUGAGACCCAAUACAAAUGAUUCACCAAAAUGGGUGAAGGGCCGGGCCUGUAUGUGUACGCGCGAGUCGGUGACUGAACACCAAGUGCUAUACCAAGAAAGAAAUAGCUAGCAUGCAAAAAUGUUCUUUGCAUAUAUCAUAUCAUGCCUGGGCAUUCGGAUUUCAGAUCGGAUUCGGUUCGGAUUUAUUCGGAUUCAGAUAAUUCGGGUAGGAGAUUUUAUUAUCCGUUCGGAUUUUAUGACUAUUCGGAUCGGAUUCGGUUCGGAUAGUAUCGGAUUCGGAUCGGUUUCAGAUCGGUUUUGGAUUGUUUUUCGAGUAAAAAAAACUAAAAAAUGUUCAAUUCAAAUAAAAAAAUAGUUUAAUCUUACUAAAAUUUGGCUAAGUUUUCCAAAAAUAUGUAUAAUUUUAACAAAUAUAACUAAAAACUUUCUGAUAUCUAGGUUAUUUAGGAUAUUUUUGUUAUUUGUUAUAAAAUUAUAGCUAAAUAUAACUAAUAUUUUUGGAUAUAUAAUUUUAUUUUCGGUUUUCGGAUAUCCUUUCGGUUUUCGGUUCAGAUGUGGUUCGAUUCGGAUAAUUCGGAUAGGAGAAUUCAUUAUCUGUUCGGGUUUUGUGACUAUUUGGUUCGGAUUCGGAGCCAGAUUUUUUGGAUCGGUUUCGGAUUGGUUUUCGGAUUUUAUGCCCAGGCCUAAUCAUAUGGAUAAAUGUUUAAUACUUAAGAGUUGAUAAGAUGAUCUAGAAUUAGUUGCAAAUUAUCUUCACCAUAUCUUCAGUUGUGAGAAACAUAUAAUUGAUUGUUAGAGCCUAGAGGGGCACAGUCAUAGAGCAGUUUUUAAUUGGUAUUUUGCUUAACCUGUAAAUUUGAUUGAAAAAUAUUUCGGACCACCUAGAGAGAGCGUAUGCAAGUGAAAAUUAAACAUAAACAAAACUCUUAUUUAUUAAGGACUUGUGCUAAUUACAUUAAUCUCAAACAUCCAAAACUUACAUUUUCAUAAAACACACGAUGAGGUGUGGUGUUAACAUGUAUCAACAACCACACGCUCAUACGCUCGAUGGUUUUGUUUGGAAUCUAGUAGUAAGGAGGGAAGAAGGGGAUGGUGGUCUGGAAGGGGCAUUCACCAACUUGCUGGAUCCUGCAAACCUUAGGCAAGUACUUAGCUGUCUGGUAAAUUUUCCUGGAUUGGAAUGGUCCGUGCUGUCCCUGGAGUCUAACGGCUCUAGCCGCCUGUUUCAAGGUGGGGCAAACGCAAACUGGCUCUUCCUGGCGAAGCUCGUUGCAGCACUGCUGGAGUAGCUGGUGUCCCUGCUGGGGGCCCUGUGGGUUCUCCAUAUCGUCUUCGAAAUCGAACUCAUCUUCACCACCACGACCUUGCCUUGUUUGCUUCUGCAUGAAUCUCUGGCAAGCUCUUAGGUGCUGUGAUUGCUGGAACUCCUUCUGGCAUCUCUGUCUUGGGCCCAUGGGGUUGGUGGCGUCAUCUUCGUUGAACUCGACGACGGUGCGGUAGAUGGAAGCGUUGGUGAGGAGGAAGCAGAGGGCGAGAGUUGCGCAGACGAGGAAAAGCUUGUUCGCCAUUUGGUAUUUGUAUGUGUUCUUACUCGUUAUUUGUGAUGAUGUAAAGAGUGGAAUAAAGUGGUUAAUUUAUAGGUGAAAAAUGAGAUUGCAUGGUGAUCACGUGUAAGAAUGCAUGUGUGUGUGAGAGAGUGAAUUUUUAGAGGAUGUGCAAUGGGAGUCUCUCGUCAUAGUCUCUCACAUAUGUGGAUGUCGGAUUCACACACUCAAGUAUUUUGUUAAGUGGGAAAGAUUAUUCUUGAGGGACAAAAAUGAAUAUGUAAAAACUUAUAAAUUGAUACGAAAAUUGCUAUAGUAUUUCUCUCUUGAGAGGAAGAUCCCCUUUUACAUGGUCAUUGGCCUCUAUAUUUAUACAUAGAGAAACGACAUUAAAAUGAAUAAUUAAGUACAAUUAUUCCUUCUUAAAUGUGUCCGUUUUGAUUCUUCGACUUUAAUGCUCAACGUUUGAAUUUGAGUUGACUCUGAUCUUCAUGGGACUCGCCUUUUUGGCCCAAGUGUCUUUGAACCGACUUACCCGUGUCUUCUACACUGAACUCGUAUCACAGUGCAGUCACUUCGGAUUCUCGAUGUGGUGACAACCACUUCGACCGUCCCCUCGGUUCACGGGUCCAAUGGGCUUCAUCCUUUAUGGGCCACCCGCUUGACUAUGUGGCAAUCUUUGGUUGGUCUCGUACUUCUGGUGCGGGAUCCGACACCAACAAUUAGCCCCCCAAGUUCUUCGAAGUGCUUUUCCAAUUCGGAGGACUUUAAAUGCUCAAGUGGCCAAAGAUUGCGCUCGAGAAUCUUUCUGAUUUCCCGCCGAAAAUCUCAUCACUCCUUUAAUUUUGGCACUAGCCAUUUUUAACCGAGUGACAUCUGUCAUCAUUAUGACCGUAUAUUGAUUAAUUACUAUUAAAACGGGAAAAAACCUUCCCACUUCCCACACGACUUCCGGGCGGUUUCAUCAUUAGCUUGAGGUAACUUCUUUUCACCAUUACUCUCUUCUUUUAUUUUUGUACUUUAAUCAAAACCUCUCUCUUCGUUCCUUCACCAAAACCCCUCUUCGCCGGAUCUUGAAUUUUUCUUUGUUCCCAAUGACUUCCGAUUCUGAUAGACCCGAGUCUCCGUCUUUCGACGAAAGACGUUCUAGUAACGACGAGUGCACCCGCCCUGGUGAUAUUGCCGGUCCGCACUAUAGGUCCGCUUGUACUCUUCAAUCCCUCGAGCGAUUGAGAGAGCUUUGCCGGAUUCCGCCGGAAAUUAUGGCGGAAGCACAAAUAGCUUCCCCCACAGAAUCUCCAGAGAACCAUCGCGAUGGUUACUUCUGUGUGUAUGAGAUUUAUUUCAAGGGUUGCGGGCUGACCUUUCCUCUUCCUGAAGCCUUAGUUUUAUACCUAGCGGCUCUUGAAAUCGCUCUUCCUCAAUUAACCCCCAAUCUUCUUCGUACUAUUCUUGGCCUUAUAACAAUCGCGGCGGAGGCCGGUUACGUUAUCGGAGUUGCUGAACUAAAUGAGCUUCUGAGUGUGAGAAGUUCAUCGAAGAAAGCGGGGUACUUCUCAGCAUAUCCUAAUGCCAACAGGAACAUCAUUUCACAUCUUCCGAACAAGGAUGAAAAUUGGCAUCAUCCUUGGUUUCUAAUUAAGAAAACUCCCGCUUCGAUUGGAAAUCUCGCAUAUUUUCUCCCUUCGAAGUGGUCUGCGAAACCCGGUAGUCAUUAGGUUGCCCGUAUCUUUCCCGGUUGUUUCUUUAUCUUUAUUGACUAACACCGUUGUUUCUUUCGCAGCUUUCAUCGCUUCCAUUCUCCCAUCUGAAGAGUUCAUCGAAUUCUUCAAAAUAAUUCUUGAAGGGGAAACCCUUUGGAAUUCCUUCACUCUUGAACGAUUCCUAGAGGCUAACCACAGACUCAGGAUGAGUCCGCCUGGUCAUCUUCACCAAAUUCCUCCCCCUCCCUCAACUCAGGGAAUGUCAUCUCGGGCCCUUGCGGCCAAGCGUAAGUUGCUUUCCAAGCCGAUGGCUGAGGCUUGCGAGGAGAAGAAAAAGUUUCUCGCGACUUCUAUAGACAAGAAGGACUAUAGUAGGACCUUGCUGGUUGAUGAUGGCAGUACCGAGGGAGCCCGAUCUGUUGCUUCCUUCAGACUAACUCCUCGUCGCGACCGCCGCGACUCACGUUCUCCUCGGAGGGAUCAAUCUCCUCGCCGUGAUUCACCUCGUCCUCCCCGAGAUGAUUUUAGUAACGAGCCAAUUAAGAACUUGGUUCGCCGGAAGAGAGACAAAUCCUCUCGCAGUGAUCCUUCCCCGCAGAGGGAAAAGUCAAGGGCCCGGACUGACCGCUCACCUCGGUCAUCCCCUCCUUCUGAACCAAUGGGUCCUCCACGACCGGUUGACAUGUCCUCCUCUUCCCAGCCUGAUAGUGGAAAGACUGCCCGGAGCGCGUCUCCGAAAAAGGGAGACUCUGAAUCUCGAGAUGCUCCCUCGAGGCUGAAGCCUGCUCUUGUCCCUCAAGUCAAAUCGCUUUCAGGUUUGGUGAUUUACACAUACUUAAACUUUUUGUCUUUAUUAAAAUUCCAAUUUUUACAACUCUUCCUUCUUCGCAGCUAUGGAGAAAGAGGACAGCGUCUUCCGAUGCUUCAAGACCCGAUCGGGUUCGAUCUUACCAGACUUCGACAAAUGGCGUCCUGCAAUUCGUGAACGUUAUUUGCUUCAUGCGCAUCACUCAUCUCGGGUUAGUUCCGCUUUCUUUUAUGUAUAUUUUUUAUUGUAUUGCCAUUCUGCGAACUGACUCGUCAUCCCGGGUUCAUGUAUAACGCCAGGCUCAUAGCGAAUUUAACGACAUGAUCGAACAUUACGAAGGGUUGGUCAUUGGCCGGGAGAAGGAGAUUGACAUGUGGAAAAAGAAACUCUCUGCCCUUGAGGCCGAACUCAGUUCUUCUGCCGGCUCCAAGCACGAUCUGGAGGACAAAGUCGACAAUUUAACAUCCGAGCUAGCGCAGAUAAAGGGGGAGCUGCAGGGUCAGUACGACCAGAACUUCAAACUCCAGGAAGAGUUUUCUGGUAUUCAAGGUAGGCUUCAAGAGUCCGAAUCAAACGCUGAUUCCCUGAACAACCAACUCAUCGAGCUCAACGCGAAGUACAAGGCGAUCGCCAAAUUGCGUGACUCCGAGUUGGCGAGGUCAGCAUCAAAAGCCAGAAAAGAGGUUAAGGGACGCGGGAUGGAGUUGAUCCAAGGGGCCAUCCGAUUCAUGCAGACUGAGAAGGCUAGGUCUGACUUGGAAUCAGACAUCAAGGAGCACGAGAGCAACCUGAUCCUGCUGGAUCAAAUCCAUGAUGCAGAUUUCUCCGAGGAUCAAGAGAGAACCGAACUAUCGGCUAAUCUUUCUGAAAAGCGGAGUCGCUUGGCAGCUCUUCCUACUUCGACCUUCAACCCUCAGGACUUCGAGGAAUUCUUCACCGAAUCGCCUCCUAUAAGCGAAUCAGGUCUAGACUGGGCAGGUAAUGCUUGGCUCCUGAUAUUUAUUACCUUUCCUUUUCUUGCACCUUUGAUUGACUGGAAUUAUUAUUCCUAGGCUCAAGUGAGGCGGAGGACGUUGUCCCGCCCGUAGCUCCUAUGGUAUCGGAGGUCACUCCGGAGGUUGGUUGUACCGCGGAGGGUGGUCAGGGAGCUUCAUCUGAUCAAGCAGCUGCCAAGGACGCGAAUGAAGCUUCGACUGUUGAGCCGGACUCCGAGGUGGCUGCUGCUCCGUAGUGGCUGUGUCCACUUUAAAUUGGGGAUUGUCCCUUUAUUUUUAAGAUUUAAUUUCAAACUUAUUUUUGCCUAAGGAGGCUUUAUUAUUUUCUUUUGAACAAGAUAUUUGCCUGAGGAGGCUUUUAAACCUUUCUAGGUUGUGACCCAAGGGGGUUUGGUUAAAAUUAUAUGCGGGUUUGCAAAGUCCGCUUUUAACCUUUUGUGGCCUUGUGGCUAUGCUUUUGAGAUAUUUAGGCUGAUCAGACCUUUCUCUUUUAGAAUGCGAGAACUGAGCCCGGCUUAAAACGAGUUCCCCACUUCGGGUUUAGUCAACUCGAUAAACUUGUUGGGCUUGGGCCUUAGAAACUUUUGCAGUUAAUGCGACGGUUGCUCUUUCCCUUCUUAAAGAAAACGGCUCGUCUUUUAAUGUAAUAAUUGCCUUUUCUCGAUUUUCCAAAAAUGGUUUAACCCACUCGGAAACGCUACCAUUAAUGGAUUUAUGGUUCCAAGACAAACCCUAAAUCAUUAUAAAUAAAGGCUUACCUACCUCUAGGCUUUAUUAAACAUGACUCUAGAGUCUUACUUGAGAAAUAUUUUAAGAAUGGAGAACGAAACAGCAGCCCCCGUUGAUCCCGGCAGUCCACUCUUCUUAUCCGGCGACGGCUUUGAACCGGCCGGCGUUCUCUUCCCUCACGCCGUCUUUCACUUUCCUCCGAAGGAGAAGAAAGAGGCUUGCGAUUUUAUUGACAAGGUAAAUGUUAGAGUUUUUGGUUUAAAACUUCUUAUUUCGUUUUAUUCACUCAUUUUUAUGCUAGGUCGCCGACAAGCACCGUCGCUUGUGUGAAGAGAGGCAGCGGCUGGGACUCAAAAGGCAGACGCUCGAGGCUCGCAUCGCUCGGGUGGAAAGGAAGAUACGGGCUUUGGAGAGUGAUCCCUUUCAAUGGGAGUGGCGGAACUUCGAUUCUGUUGCUGAGAUCCCGAAGAUGCUUCAGAUGUAUCUCCGCGCUAGAGGAGUCCCGGGUCCCGUGAACGCCCCUGUCUUCGCCGUUCCAUCCGACAGUGAAGAGGAAGAGGACUUGGAGGAGGAGGCCAGCAACUGCCGGAAACGCGUUCGGGAUCGCUCCGAAGUGGAUGCCAAAAACAAGGCGUCCACUUUGAAGACUGAACCGGCGAUGAAGGAGCCUGUUCCUGAGCCUCUCCCAUAAAUGUUCUCUAAUUUCUUCACUUCUUCUUUUUUUUUUUUUUAAACUCGUAAUGGGCUUCGCCCCCUUUUUAUUUAUGGAAAUAUUUGCUACUUUCCUUUCUUUCCAAAUAUUCUUGGAGAUGCGUCUUUUAAUGCAGGAUCCGUUCGAGGGCAUAAAUCUCUCCGCGAAUCAUUCCAUUCCUUGGAUAGAAUCCGCAGCUUGCUAGGGAUAUGGAGUUCCUAUAAAUUAUAGGUUCAAUUCCCCUUUACUCCUCACCACUCUUUUUUUUUUAUUUUAGCAGGUAUGGAGUUCAAUCUACGCUGUUCAGAAUCUAUGCCCGACUUCUCCAGAAUCGGAAUGAUGAAUGAAGAUGUUCCAAGUGAGCCCAACAGGCAGCCUCCUCCACUUCGUGGCUUCUUGAGAUCUCAAAUCCGAGCCCCAUGUGCUUUGAUCAGGGAUCUCCCAAUCAGAGACCAAGGAACGGCGACGGUGUUCAUUGAGGCGCUCAAGCUUCAACACCGGAAGCUUACGUCGGAAAAGAGGAGACUUCGGAAGAGGAUUAACCGAAUGCAACGCAGGCUUACUACAGUGUCAAGAAGUCUUCACAUCCUUGAAUCUCACCCCGGAGAGUGGAUUGAGCUUGGAAUUUCUGACUUUGCUCGAAUUCCGGACUGCAUGAUGCCGAUCCUUGAUCUUGCUGGUCAAGGAGUUGAAGUGUUCUGCUCAUCAACAAGAUUUCCAUAAUCCGAAGUGUACGAUGAAGGACAUUCUGUUUUUUUUUUUUUUUUUUUAAAUAACGCUCUAUUUCCAAUUCCUUGUAUGUUCGUUUAGCCGAACCUUCUAUUUGCUUCACUUGUUCGCACAGUCGAACCUUUCUCCUUUAAUAAAGAAAUAAAACAAAUUUUUAUUAAUAGCUGAACUCGUUUUCGAGCUGCCUACGUACCCAUCUUGGGAUCAAGCCACACCGUAGUUCAUGUACAUAAACAAUGCAUGUAGCUUUAAACAUAAAAUUUCUUUAGGUUGAUCACAUUCCAAGGUCGCUUGACUGGAUUGUCUUCUAAGUCUUUCAACCUAUAAACACCGUUCCGAACCACUUCGGUAAUAAUGUAAGGUCCUGCCCAAUUAAUACCGAGUUUACCGGCGCCUUCUUCUUUUCUGUUAUCAAAGACGCGCCUUAAUACAUAAUCUCCCACGAAGAACGGCCUACUUUUAACCUUAGAAUUGUAAUACCGGGCUGCUGCCUGUUGGUAAUUCUGGAUCCGGACUAGAGCUUGAUCACGCCUUUCAUUUAUGGUAUCCAGUGAAUCAUUAAGCAUUGCUGAAUUUUCUUCCUCAUUUAACGGUGCUUCUGUUCGACGAAGUCCGGGCACAUUGAGUUCAGCUGGUACUACCGCCUCCAUGCCAUAAACCAAAGAGAAUGGAGUUUCUCCUGUAGGUCGCCUAGGAGUCGUACGAUAGGCCCACAGGACGGGUUGGAGUUCUUCAUACCAUCCUCCCUUUAGAUGACUUAAGCGUUUCUUGAGAUUGCUUAAUAUUGUCUUGUUCACGGCUUCAGCUUGUCCGUUCCCUUGCGGAUACCGUGGAGUAGAAUAACUAACUUUGAUUCCCCAGUCCGCACAAAAGGCAUCAAACUCGUGUGAAAUGAAUUGUGGCCCGUUAUCAGUGACUAUUUCGUAUGGAACUCCAUGUCGACAUAUAAUGUUUUUCCAAAUAAAGGUCUUCACCGCCGAAUCCUUGAUACCAACAUACGCCUCAGCUUCAAUCCAUUUUGAAAAGUAGUCCGUAAGGACUAAAAGGUACUGUACACCUCGAGUUGAUUUGUGCAAUGGCCCAAUGAUGUCCAUUGACCAUCUCAUAAACGGGUAUGGGGCGGAAAUGGAGGAGAAUAAUUCCGACGGUUGAUGGAUCAAUGGUGCAUGGAGUUGGCAGCGCUUGCAUCUUUGGGCGAACUUAACACAAUCUGUGAUCAUAGUGGGCCAAAAAUACCCCAUUCUUUUAACUUUAAAAGCCAUAGCUCUUCCUGAUGAAUGACUCCCACAUAAUCCUUCAUGCACCUCGCUCAUGACGAUUUCUUCGGGCCCAAAAAUGCAUAAUAGGUAAGGGUCACUGACACCUCGUCUAUACAACGCAUCCUUUGACAGACAAAAUUUUGCGCUAACGACUUUCAUUUUCCUGGCCUGUCAUUUAUUCUUUGGGAGCUCACCUGUCAUGAUGUAGUGCUUUAUUGGCUCCCUCCAAUCAGCCCCCCAGUCUUUAGCCGGAAUUUGAUCAACUUUUUGGAAUAUUCGUGGCUCUGGUUCGGGAUGCUCGUUUGGUUCAAGAACAUCUUCCUCGAUUAAUGGCUUGGUUUCUAACAUCGUUUCUGGAACCACUUCUUCAGCUAAGACAACGGGUUCCUUGUUAGAUGUAUUUGAUCCCUUUGACUUCCUGCGUUUGUUGGGUGGCGGUUCGAUCUCUGGUUCGCCACGGUUGCGUGCCGCUGCUCGAGACCUUGUAACGACGAGGGUUUCCUUGCUGUCUUGAAUGCUUCGCUCCGAGAUGCACUCUACUGGAAUAACUCUCUUUAACUCAGGAUAUGAUGUUGACGCCAAUGCGGCAAGUGCAUCUGCAGUUGUAUUCUCUCCCCGAGGUAUGCGGAUUAACUCGAAUUUCGAGAAAUUUUUAGAUAGAUCCUUCACCACUUCGAGGUACGCUUCCAUUCUUGAAUCUUUGGCUUCAUAGUCUCCAUUAAAUUGGUUAACUACUAAUUGCGAAUCGCAAUAAGCCAAUAUUUCCUUAGCUCCAACUCCUUGUGCUAGUCGAAGUCCGGCAAUAAGGGCUUCGUAUUCUGCCUCGUUGUUGGAGGCAUUGAAUAACAAUCGGAAUGAUUGUUCUAGAAUUUCUGAUGUCGGAGAUUCCAACCUAAUUCCCACUCCGGAUCCUUGCUUUGUUGAAGACCCAUCUACGUGUAAUUUCCAAGUUUGGUUCUCCGGUUGAUCUAUCGUUCCAGGUAUUGGUAGUUCGGUCAGGAAGUCUGCUAAGACCUGAGCCUUCAUACUGAUCCGGCUUUUGAACUCUAUGUCGUACUCGCUUAAUUCCACCGCCCAUUUCGCCAAACGUCCGGAUUGACUUGGACUAUGAAGUAUUGUUCUGAGUGGUUGGUUAGUUAAUACUUCAACCGGAUGGGACUGAAAAUAUGGACGCAGCUUCCGAGCCGAAGUUACCACCGCGAGUGCAAGUUUUUCCAUCAUUGUGUAUCUGGUUUCCGGAUCCGUCAUUGACUUGCUCACGUAGUAAAUUGGUUUCUGCUCCCCACGGUCUUCCCGAACCAAGACUCCACUAACCGCGUGGUUUGAAACUGAAACGUACAAGUAGAGUUUUUCAUCCACUUCCGGUUUGGACAGUAUAGGUGGAGUGGUUAAGUAUGCCUUAAGCUGCCCAAAAGCUUCUUCACACUUCUCAUCCCAAAGAAAUCCUUUGUUCCCUUUUAGAAUUUGGUAGAAAGGCAACGACUUAUCUGUUGAUCUCGAGAUAAAACGAUUCAAGGCCGCAAUCCGCCCAGUCAACCGUUGUACUUCUUUGAAGUUUCUCGGAGAUGGCAUGUUUAGAAAGGCGUUAAUUUGAUUUGGAUUGGCUUCAAUCCCUCUUUCUAUCACGAUAUAGCCAAGGAAUUCUCCGGAUGGGACUCCAAAUGUGCACUUCGCCGGGUUCAGCUUCAUUUGAUAUUUAUUGAGAAUAUCAAUACAUUCUUCCAAAUGUUUAACAUGAUCUUCUUUCUUCAACGAUUUAACCAACAUAUCAUCUAUGUAGACUUCCAUAGUCUUCCCGAGGUGAUUGUGAAACAUUUUGUUCACCAACCGUUGGUAAGUCGCUCCUGCAUUUUUCAAUCCAAAAGGCAUUACCUUGUAACAGUAGAUACCUCUAUCUGUGAUAAAUGACGUCUUUUCUUGAUCGUCGGGGUUCAUCAUUAUCUGAUUAUAACCCGAGAAGGCGUCCAUGAAUGUUAACAGCUCAUUUCCAGCGGUGGACUCUACAAGUCGAUCUAUAUGCGGGAGCGGGAAACUAUCUUUGGGACAUGCUUUAUUUAGGUCUGUAAAGUCGAUGCAAACCCUAUCUUUCCCAUUCUUUUUCUUGACAACGACAGUGUUUGCUAUCCACUCCGGAUAUUGCACUUCUCUUAUGGACCCCAUCUUCAAAAGAUUAUCCACUUCGUCGUUUACUAUUUUUGCCCGCUCCACUCCAAGCUUUCUUCUUUUUUGUUUCACCGGUUUGAAGCUUGGAUCUACGUUUAGUUCAUGACAAAUUAUACUCGGAUUUAUGCCCGGCAUGUCCGCUGCAGACCAUGCAAAUGAUGCUUUGUUUUUCCUUAAGAGUUCGAUCAAAGCUUCUUUUAUUUGGCCAGUCAAAGUUGCUCCAAUUCUAAUUUUCCGGUCCGGCUUGUCUUCUUCCAGUACCACUUCGACUACUACAUCCUCUUUUUUCUGCCCACUAGGAAAUUUUGUUUUUAGUCCUUCUUUUGCGGGCUUCGUUAAUUGCUAUUGAAUCUUCAUACGGUGGCUAGCUAAGUAACAAGUCCGCGAAGCUUCUUGAUCUCCCCGAAUCGUUUCCACCCCAUUUGAUGUUGGAAAUUUGAUACAUUGAUGGUAUGUAGAGGGGACUGCUUUCAUCCGAUAAAUCCAGGGAGUCCCGAGGAUGAUGUUGUAAGCUGCGGGCUUAUCGAAGACAACAAAGUCCACGAUCUUCGAUACCUUCUUGGCAAGGACCGGUAGCUUGAUUGUUCCGAGAGAUAUGGCUGACUCGCUUGUGAAUGCAACUAACGGAGAUGGGGGUCCUACUAUGUCUCCUCGGCUGAUUCCCAUUUUUUCUAGAGUACUUAAAAAGAUUAAGUCAACCAAACUGCCUGUAUCUAUAAGGAUCCUCGAUACUUCGAAGUUGGCGACAUCAAGGGUAAUGACUAGAGCAUCAUCAUGAGGCCUUUUGAGGUACCGCGUUUCUUCUUCAUCGAAUGAUAUUGAUGCACCUUGAAAAUCGACUUCUUCGCUUAAGCUUGCUUUGAGUAAGACAUUUCGUCUAUGCUUUUUGAUUGAACUUAUUGAAUCUCCGCAAAAUCUGGAUCCCCCUAGAAUCACAUUGAUCUUACCCUUAGAACUCCUUGGUUCUUCCUCGUUGGACAAUCUUGGUCUUUUGGAAUUUUGAUCUUUGGAGUUUUCCCUUGCUUCGUGGUAUUCCUUCACAAAAUCUUUUAUAUCGAAUUUAGAAAGAUCGCCACUAGCCCAAAGCUCUGCGAGGUGCUUUUUAAGAACGCUGCAAUCCUUAGUUAAAUGUCCGGUUACUUUAUGAAUGUCGCAAUAUAGACUUUCAUCACGGACCCAAGUGUUUGAUCUCCCUUUCCCUUGGAAUUGCUUUCCAACGGUACUGUUGAAGGGUUGCGACCCAAAUUUCCUUGGUCCUUUGCUUUCCCUAGGCUCGAACUUCUUGGCAGGGACGGUGAUUGCUGGCUUUUCUUGCUUACUUCUUUUGGCGAAACUUUCUUUUUCGUCCUCUACCUCCAUCCAAUUGUUCGCGCGAAAGAGUGCAUCCUGAAUUGUGUCUGGUUUAUGAAGUAUUAAGUCUUCUUUAAACUUUGAAUCAUGUCGCAAUCCUUUUCGUAGGGCAGAUAAAGCUGAUUGCUGUGAGAUUCUUGGGAGUUUUGACAGCACUCCUUUGAAUUUGGUGAUGAAAACUCGAAGUGACUCACUAGAUCCUUGCGAUAAGUUCCAAAGAUCAGCAUCCGAAACACUUUUAUCCAUAAGAAUGGAGUAUUGCUUUAAGAAUACGGCUGAUAGUUCGUCGAAAUUGCUGAUCGAACCUGGCUCUAAUUGGGUGAACCACAUUAGAGCUUGGCCACACAGAUUCUCCGAAAAAAGCUUGCAGUAACCUGCAUCCUCAUCAGCUUCAUCCAAUUCGACUCUUCUAGCAGCAAUCAGAAAAGCUGCGAGAUAGCUUUUUGGAUCCUCCAAUCCGCUGUAAGGGUCCAACUUGAGUUUCCGGGAAUCUUUGAUCCUCAAACUUGCAAUUCGCGGGAUAAAAGGGGUUCGCCUAGCUUCUUCAAUGACUGGAUUGAUGUCUGGCUCCGAACUUGUAGCCUGAUAAAAUUUUGAUUUCAUUUCUUUUAAUUCCUGGCUAACCUUCCUCAUGGUCUCGAACUGGUCGAGGUUCUCCUGCUCGUACUGAGCUGCAAGUUGUUCUUCAUCCCCGAGCUGCAUCUCUUCUUCCGACGUCUGAGCUACAUUAUUAGUAGCACCGGGAGUUGUUUGUCCGCUGGUUUCAUUUCGUGCAGCGGAACUUGGCGAGUUGAAUAUCCCUCUUCGGGUUCCCACCGGGUUUCCUGCACUUAAAGAGCGAACACGAGUUUGUAUAUUAUUGACGUUUUGACUAAGAGAUACCUGGGAUGUUUGCAACGUAUCGACGGCCUUCUCCACAUCCGAGAACUUUUGUGAUAUGUCCGACAUGGUUUGCUGCAUAGCUUUGAGGGUUUCGGCCAAUGAUGUCUCAACGGCGUCUCCUCCGGACAUUGUCGCUUAUCUCGGAAAUGUAGAAAAGAAGAAAUCUGACCACUCAAGAAUCCUGAUAUCCCCACAGGCGGCGCCAAAAUGUGGAUGUCGGAUUCACACACUCAAGUAUUUUGUUAAGUGGGAAAGAUUAUUCUUGAGGGAUAAAAAUGAAUAUAUAAAAACUUAUAAAUUGAUACGAAAAUUGCUAUAGUAUUUCUCUCUUGAGAGGAAGAUCCCCUUUUACAUGGCCAUUGGCCUCUAUAUUUAUACAUAGAGAAACGACAUUAAAAUGAAUAAUUAAGUACAAUUAUUCCUUCUUAAAUGUGUCCGUUUUGAUUCUUCGAUUUUAAUGCUCAACGUUUGAAUUUGAGUUGACUCUGAUCUUCAUGGGCCUCGCCUUUUUGGCCCAAGUGUCCUUGAACCGACUUACCCGUGUCUUCUACACUGAACUCGUAUCACAGUGCAGUCACUUCGGAUUCUCGAUGUGGUGACAACCACUUCGACCGUCCCCUCGGUUCACGGGUCCAAUGGGCUUCAUCCUUUAUGGGCCACCCACUUGACUAUGUGGCAAUCUUUGGUUGGUCUCGUACUUCUGGUGCGAGAUCCGACACCAACAACAUACAAAAGUAUUAAUAAAAUAAUCAAUAUUCUUAUUUAAAUAUAAAAGUCUCUUAAAAAAGUCGAGAUAGUCUCUCACUUGAAAUAUUAUGAAAGACUUUCUUUACUUUUUUGAAAGACUCUUGUAUUUAAAUAAUAAUAUUGAUUAUUUUAUUAAUACUUUUAUAUGUGAAAAAUUUUGGUGAGAGACUUCUAUUACACAUGCUUUUAGGUUUUUAUCGCGAUUAGGUGUUGGAAGAGAGUGACAAGUGACGAACAACUCCAGCCUCUGCGUCUGCAUGCUAUAUAUGUGUGAUUUGUAGCUCAUGUUCUGACGUGACAUCUUGUGAACGAUUUUUAAGAAGAAGCCAAAAAGAUUAUUAAAACAGAAAUACAGAAUUAAUUUGGUUUCAGCGGAAUAUGUGAGAGUCAAUCUUUUGGUGGUAUAGUGCAAUUGGAAAAUAUGUUUUGGGAGCUUAAUCUGAAAUGUAGAUGUUAGAAAAUGAUUCUAUAUAUAUAGUCACGGUGCACGACCCAACAGUGUUAUAAAUAUGUAAAUGAUCAGGGAAUACAACUCAGAAGACUAAAGUAUUAUUUUAUAGAGAAAUUGGCCAAAAUGGCUACAAAAUAUAGUGAAAUCGAAAAAGAAAAAAAAAAAAAGAAAUCGAAAUUAUAGCAUAGUGACAAAUUGAGACUUUUUUUUAGAACAAAUUGACUCAUAUCUCUAUAACAUUAACAAUUUAUAAAAAAGGUUGUGUAUAUACUAUAUAGUAGUUUUCAAUGUGUUUAUCGGUGUUUAAUUUGUAACCUGCGAUGCGAAUGUCUAGUAAAAUAUUUCGGGAAUUAUCUCAAUUUGUUCUUCUCUUUGGUUCAACUUUUAUCCGGUAUUUUUUACUCUUUUUUGACUACACGUUUUAGGUCCAUUAGACCAUCCUUAUUGCAAGGUUCUUAACAUGGUUCUUAAAGAAAUUGAGAUUAAAAUUAAAUGUUUAAUUGUUGAUUUUGGUAAGAAAUGGCUCUUAACUAAGAGUCAAAAUUAAUGUUAAGAGACGGACACGUGUCGCGUUUCUCUUUCUUCUCCUCCUCUCUCUCUUUUUCGAGAUUUUUAUUCUUUUAGCGACAACGGAGGCAAAAUCCGGCUCUUAUUUGGGAUAAGACAAAAAUAGGCAAUAUUAUGCAAGCAUGUAUAAUACUUCAUAAUAUGAUAGUAGAAGACGAACGAGAUGGGUAUACUCUGUUUAAUGUAACCGAAUUCCAACAAGCGGAAUCUGCCGGAAGUUCACAGGUGGAUUUCACCUAUUCUACAGAAAUGCCUACAAAUUUCGUCGAAAUGAUGGCCGCUAGAACUCGAGUUCGAGAUCGAGGUAUGCAUCAAGAAUUGAAGAAGAAUUUGGUCGAGCAUAUAUGGACUAAAUAUUCCAGAAAUCAAACUUAAAUUUUUUGUGCUUUAUGUUAUGUAUGUUUUAAAUUGUAUCUCAUGUAUGUUUUAAAUUUUUAAAUUUGCAACAAUUAUUAAGUUUUAUAAAAUUUUAGUUUUGUUUAAAAAAAAAAAUUUCUAAGAACCAUAUGCUAAGAGACUACCAUUGGAGAUAAAUAAAAUUUGAAAACAAAAUACAAGCUCUUAAGUAAAAUUUUUACAAUUUUAAUACUAAAAAAUUACUAAGAACCAUCGGUGAGCUACUGCCUUCAAAAAAUAACUAAAUUUUUUCACUACGAAAAAAAUCUCAUCAAAUCAUUUUUCAGAUGGACUAUUCAUAAACCAAUCUCAAACUCUAGUUAUAGUAUAGUCGUUUAUGGUGUCAUACCAUUCAUAAACAAACUGUAUACCAUUCUCAUAUAGAUUAUCAAUCUCAAAUCGAAGAUUGUACAUCAUUUCGUUUAUGCAAGUUAUAGUUUUUUGUUCAUUUAUAUGCUUCGUUAUAGCUUUUUAAAGAAGAAAUUUGGACACCAGUUUUUUAAAAUGGUACUUUUAGCCACAAAUUAAUAAUUAAAAACAUUUUUUUUUUUUUGACAAAGACAUGUAUACCAUUUGUUAAAGUAGCAAGAAAGAUCAAACUGCAAAUUCAUUCCCUUGGUCUCUACGCACUUGAAGUCUUAAUUAGUUACAAUUUACACAUUAUAUCUCUGAUGAGUAGUAGUCUAUGAUCUUUCCGUGGAGCAGUAGCCUAUGAUUUUUCCCGUUCAUUGUAGUAAAGUUAUUUUUAUCUAACCGUCAUGAAUUUUUAGAGAGCAGCAGCAAAUUAAAUUUAGCAAACCAAAAACAUAAACAAAACUCUUAUUUAUUAAGGAGUAGUGCUAAUUACAUUAGCCUCAAACAUACUAAAGCUUACAUUUUCAUAAAACACAAGAUGAGGUGUGGUAUCAACAACCACACUCUCAUACGCUUUGAGAGUUUUGUUUGGAAUUUAGUAGUAAGAAGGGAAUGAAGGGAUCUUGAAGGGGCAAACAUCAACUUGCGGGAUGUUGCAAACUUUAGGCAAGUUCUUAGCUGUCUGGAAAAUUUUCCUAACUUGCAUUGGUUGGUGCUGUCCCUGGAGUCUAACGGCCCUGGCAGCUUGUUUCAAGGUGGGGCAAACACAAUAUGGCUCUUCCUGGCGAAGCUCGUUGCAGCACUGCUGGAAUAGCUUCUCUUCCUGCUGGGGGCCCUGUGGGUUCUCCAUGUCGUCUUCGAAAUCGAGCUCAUCGUUACGGCCUUGCCUUGCUUGCCGGCGCAUCAAUUGCUGGCAAGCUCUUAGGUGUUGUUCUUCCUGAAAUUCCUUCUGGCAUUUCCUUACUUUUGGGCCUAUGGGGUUGGUGGCGUCAUCCUCGUCGAACUCGACGAUGGUGCGGUAGAUGGAAGCGUUGGUGAGGAGGAAGCAGAGGGCGAGAGCUGCGCAGACGAGGAAGAGUUUGUUUGCCAUUUUUUUUUGCUAGUUGUGUAUGUUUUCUUGUUUUUGGUUUGAGUGAAGAGUGUAGUGAAGGUUUGGUUGGUAUUUAUGGGUGAGAAAGGGGACUUGCAUGGAGAUCACGUGUAAGAAUGCAUGCAUAUGCUUGUUGAACUUGGUCUGCGGCAUAUAGAAGCUAUAUGAUUGUUGUCGUGAUUAGGUGUUGGAAACUCAAAUGUGGAGGAGUGACAAGUUUCCGCGUCUACAUGCAAUAUGCAACCAUGCAUGUAUGAUGUGUAACUCAUGUUCUGACAUGUCAAUUAUUUGGAAAUGACCGGGUGAGAGUCAAUUGUCAAUAUCGAAAAAGUUGGCAGUCUUUGGAGUUUGUAAAUAACUGUUUUUUGGAGGUUAAUUCUGAAAUGUACAUAAGGUUUUAGCAUCUUGAAGAAUUAGUAUUUCACUAAUAAUUUCUUAUACCCGCAGGUCACGGCCCAUUGGAAUAUUGGAUGAUGUUAUGACAACAUAUGGGGAAAAUGUAAGCUUGAUAAUUUUCCACUCCAAAGUAAUGUAUGUCUAGCAGAAUUUAGCGGACGAUUGUGUAAAUAUCCUCUUAAUAGCCUACACAGCUGUGGUCUAGUGGUAAGAGAGAAUUGGGAAAAUGUUGGAAGGAACUAACCCAGGUUCGAUCUACCCUGGAAACAAAAAUCACAUUUGUGUGAGAAGUCUGGGUUUGGGCUUUGGCCCAAGCAAUUCACAUGGUAUCCGGGAUUAGGCUAACUGGAUACCCCGGGCAUUAGUCGGACAGCAUUCCAAACUCGGGGUUAGGCAGUGUGGUAGUCCAACACCUAGGUGUUGGCGACGAGUCCACAUGGUAUCACUUCGGUGCGUUUCCGCCAGAACUGACCAGAUCAUCCGAUCGGGUAUAUAUAUAUAUAUAUAUAAAAUAUCCUCUUAAUAAGGCAAACUAGUCCUCUCACGUCUCACAGUGACAAAACAUUUCUAAACUAGUCCAACUUAACUUAGUAGCGAGUGUAGUACGGAUACGAGUAGUUGGUUAUUCAUUCAGGUAUCAAAUGGGGUACUUUUAUGAUUCACAUAUUUGAAUACACUAUGAACUAUCGCUAAAUCGGAUAAAAGUUAGAUUUUGAUUAAGAAAUCUCAUAUUUCGGAACACUAAUUUUUCCACAAAUGCUUAACAAUCGAUUUUUUUUUUAUCGAAAACGAACGAAUCUUGGUUCAAUUCGGUACCAAAAAUAUCAUCUCUGAACCGAACCAAAAUCUACCACAUCGUAACUAAAACAAAGCUUUGUUUCGUUCGAACUGGUAAAAAGAAAAAAAAGUACCAAACCGAAAAUUGAAAUUCCAAAAUUUCCGAUUAACCGGAAAUCCUAGCUCUAACCAUAAAAUAAAAUAUAUAUAAAAAGUUGCUAAAGAGACUGUGAGACAAAAAUAUAUUUUCCUCUUCCUCUCUCAUAAACAGAAGUUGCAGACUUUAUCCGAAUUUAGGGUUUCAUCAGCUCGUUCUCUCUUCUCCGAUAAUCAGAUCCACGAAACUCUACUUUUCGGAUCAGGUAUAAUUUGUUCUUUUUCUAUUCGCGUUUGUUAUGUUCUUAUAAGCUGAUUACACGAAUUGCUUCUCGCUGUUUCUUCGAUUUCGGUAUUUUCGAGGUGAAGUUUGUUUUCAUUUUCCGAUCCAUAAUUUUGGAGUUUGUGAUUGAUUUGUUUUCGUUCAUCAGCUGGGUAAUAUCGUUUACGAAUGUCCCUGUAGACUGUACGCGAGAUUUUGUUUAGGAUCUCAUCGGAUUUGCGGCUGACUUUAGAAAGUUGGAUCUUGCUUUGAUCUGCUGUGAAAAUUAAACGUCAAAUCAUGUAAUUGAGCUAGAUCUGCUUAAUUAGAAUCCUGGGAUUUGGACGACGAAUCAAUUUGAUGAAGAUGAUAUCUUGCUCAUUUCGAAUCUUAUGUUGCAAAUGGUACUUCUGGAGUUGGUUUCUUAGUUGGGGUUGUAGUUUCUCAUCUGGUUUAUGUAUCAUUAGUCUCUAGAUGAGCAUGGCUCGUAUUGGAAUUGUGUGUGUUUAUUGGUUGUUAUCGUGUUAUGUGUUUCCUUCAGUUCUUUGACUGUUUUCUAAGACCUAGUUAAUAAUCAUUUUGCUUGUAUGGACGUUGUGGUUUAAUACUUGCAUCUUCUAUUAUGUGUGCUUUAUCCUUCUGAGUGUGCCAAAUUCUUUUGUGACGUUGGCUUUCUUGUUCAGGUCUCAGCUUCUUUAUCGUUUGCCCCUCAGAUCAACAAAGUUUCAUGUCUGAACUUGAUUCCCAGGUCCCUACUGCCUUUGGUAAGUGUCAAUCAUACCAAUGCUUUAAACUCGAUCUAUAAUACAUCAAAGUAACUUUGCUUAUUUGUCUCAAUAGUUCGUAUAGACAUAUUUCAGAUGUUUGGUAGCAGUUCUGAAUUUUGAUAUUUGGAACAUGGGCUUUUGUAAAUUUGUUUAAGUCUUGGAUUCUUCAGGUUGUGAUUUGCCGUAUCUCAUGUGGGAACUGACAGGAGCUAAUCAGUUUCUUUGUGUUGCUUGCAGACCCGUUUGCUGAUGCGAAUGCUGAGGACUCAGGUGCAGGAACAAAGGAGUACGUUCACAUUCGUGUCCAGCAGCGGAAUGGUAGGAAAAGCUUGACAACGGUCCAGGGGCUAAAGAAAGAGUACAGCUACAGCAAGAUACUUAAGGACCUCAAGAAAGAAUUUUGCUGCAACGGAACUGUGGUUCAGGACUCAGAGCUCGGACAGGUACAUGCUUUGAAACACCAUGGUGCAUCCAUGUGGGUAAAUUACUGUCGGUAUAGUUGGCAAUUGGCAUGUUACCAUUCGAAUAGUGCAACAAAGGGAUAGAUAUACAGUAUGUGCUGUCUGUCUCUGGCUACUGUCCAUUGCUUAUGCGACUGUGCAAAAUGUGCAGGUUAUUCAGCUUCAAGGCGAUCAGAGGAAGAACGUCUCCACAUUCCUAGUCCAGGUAAAAAAAAUACACAAACAGGUUAACAAAAAAGAUUGUUGCUUGAUCUUGUUUCUCAUACUUGUCAUGGAACAGGCUGGCCUUGUGAAGAAAGAUAACAUCAAGAUCCAUGGUUUCUGAGCUGCUUCUGUUGCAUUGUCCCUAGGACGUUUAAGUGGAUCGUUACUGUGUUGUGCAGUUCCAAAACAAAUCUUCACCUUUCUCUUUGAUUGCUUGUUGGUGAUUUUUGUUGUUGUUUUUUUAAAUAUCUUUGGUAUGAUACUAAGAGACUAUCAUCGUCUUCUUCCACAUGCUACUUGUGUAAUAUGAAGCAUUCUCUCUCUAUUAAUGUUUGCCUCUUCUCUCAAUAUCUUGUUACCAAGAUGGAUCACACAAUACUUUUACUAUUAUUAUUCUUGUGUUGUGCCAAUCUGAAUUUGGAUCCGGAAAACAGAUAAUACCUCAAUGAAAGCAAAAACAUGAGGCUAUUUUUUAGCUAAAAAAAACAUAUGAAUUUGAUAUCGCCAAUGGAUUACAUUGACCAGAGGACUUGAAUACUCUGACGGGUCCAGAGGUUUUCAAAGUCGCAGGAAAUUACGAAUGAACCAACCGCUUGUCUUCUCUAUCGAGUCCAAAAAGUGGAGCUCUGCAAAAUCCUCGGGGAAGACGAUUUUAGGUUAAAGAUAAGAGAAUUUGGAAAACGCAAUUAGGUUAGAGUUUGGACUAAUCUGAAUCGAUAUUCUUUGAAUUCGUAAUCGAAGUAGCGUUUUCUCUACAGUUUCCUCAAAAUCCGCUUUAGAAAUCGCAGGUAAAAGAUGGAGGAGAUUUUCGCUUUGAUAGUCUCAAUGAUUCUCAUAGUUGCGGUGAUUCCUUUGUUCUUUUGGAAACGUCGGAGAGAUGCUAGAUCACGGGAGCAAGUUGCAGAACCGCCACAGGUAAAUAUGCGAAAAUGGAUUUGAAUUUUUGAUCAAUCUGGGGCUUGAUGUUGGUUGUUCGUGUGAAAUUGAAAGGUUCAGGCUCGUGAAAAUGUGGCACGUGCUACUGGUGGACGUAGGAUGCGUCGGAGACCUGCAGCAACUUCUGGUGCUAGCUCCUCCUCUACAUCCAAUGUUCAAGGUUGGUAUUUGACAGGACAGCUUUUGUUUCUCUUUUUCGUUGUUUUUAUGUCAGAUUCUCUCGAAAUAGUGUGUGUGUGUGUGUGUGUUUUUAGCUGCAUCAACUGGAUGAGUUUUGAGGAUUGAGUUUCUGCUAUCUUUGUAAUUUGAGGCAACCUUAUGUAAAUAGGUGUGUUAUUGGUUAGCUAGUGAGAACUCAGAAACCAUUUUUAUUCAAGAUUAGUCAAUAAUUUUUUUUAGUUUCAUUUUGUCAUCUAUCUUGCUGUGAAUGUAGUUUAAGAUUAGAAGCGGCUUGGAAUUAGGUGAACUAUUGGCUUUGGAAUAAUUCCUUGGGUAUAUGUGAAACAGAAAACGUCAGUGGGAGUGAAGAUGAAGAUGAAGAUGAAGAUGAAGCUGGUGGAUCUCAAGCCAGAGCAUCAAAGAAGAAAGAGAAGAAGCGACAAGAGCGGGAAGCACAAAGACAGGUGACCAACAUUCUCUAUUUCUGCUUACUUCUUCUAUUAGAAUUUUUGGUAUGAUUAAGGAUGAGAAAUUCUAGGAAUAUCAGUAAGAUGUUAACUUAAGGAUAGAGCAUUUUGUUUUGAGCUCGGAAUAGUACAUCCCUUUUUGGCAAGACUUUCCUGAUUAAGUUCUGUUCUUAUUGUCGAGUAAAGGCUGAGGAAGCUACACGCGAGUCAAGGAAUACAAAACAAGAUUGGUAUGCAGAAAUGCGGAGGAAGAAGGAUGAAGAGCGCGAGGCAGAAGAGCGGAAGUUGGUGGGUCAAUUAAUUUAUUUCAGAUUUCGUUUUGUUUUAGGCUUCCUGCUUUUUAUAUACUGGGCUUGGCGAAUUGUGACAUUGUUGUGUAGGAAGAAGAAGAAAAAGCGCGACAAGCCAAGGAAGAAGAGGCAGCUGCGUUAGAGUUUGACAAAUGGAAAGGGGAAUUUUCAGUUGAUGCUGAAGGUACUACAGAGGAAGUGCAAGGUGGAAAUCAAGAUUUGCUUUCAGAAUUUGUUGAAUACAUAAAGGUAUAUUAUCUAUCUUGAAUAACCCUUUACCAAAGACUUUUUGAUCUCCGAUUCUAAUCGUUUUUCUGCGAAUAUAAACAAGCUAAGAAUAAAUUAUAGGUACAAAUGUUGCGAAUGAAACAAAUUAACAAUAAAGUAUAGAUGCAAAUGAAAUGUUGUCUCAGCCCUAUGAAUGUACCGACAUGUUGAGCCUUCCUUUUGCUGUGUGAUGUGAUUGCAGAAACAGAAAUGUGUUCCACUUGAAGAUCUCGCUGCAGAAUUUCAUCUACGAACUCAGGUAUCAUCUGGCUACAUAUUCUAUGUGGAAAAUAAAUGAAUACAUUUUGUCAUGGUUUUCAAGUCUGAUUCAACUGUUGGUCUUCUUAGGAAUGCAUCAACAGGAUCGCCUCUUUGGAGAGCAUUGGUAAUAUUCUCUCUGUCCAAUAUAGCAUUCCGCAUUCAUCUCAUCUUGUAGUCUGUAAUCUGCUAUGGGUAUAGUAAGCCCGAAGCUAUAUGAAUAAGCAGAUGAGAAACUGAUGUGAAACCGUAAUGGGACACGUUUAAGAUCUGAAACCCUUCUCUUUUAUUCAGGACGGCUCUCGGGGGUCAUGGAUGAUAGAGGGAAAUACAUUUACAUAUCAAUGGAAGAGAUGAAUGCGGUUGCGGAUUACAUCAAACGUCAAGGGAGAGUUAGUAUCUCACAUCUAGCAAGCAAGUCAAACCAGUUCAUCGACUUGGAGCCCAAAGUACAGCAUCAGCUGACCGAAGAAAUUAGCGGCAUGGAAGAGAUCUCAGUUUCUUAGUUGUGUUUCUCGGGUAAAAUCGUUUGUCAUAAACAAGAGUUAAAGCCUUAGGGAGUCACUGCAACAUGAUGGUGUUUGGGUCAUAUACCUUCUUCUUUUUUACUACAAUAGUUUGAGAUCCUUAGGCUUGCAUCCAUAUACAGUACAUGAAAAUAUAUAAUCUUAUAUAUCAUCCAUAUGUUAAAUUUGUUGUUUGUCUUACCAUUAAAUUUUAUUUACAUCGUCUGUCUUACCAUUAAAAAUAAAAUAAACACAAAAGAAAUGGAUGGUGUUGGUAGAUCACAAAACAAUGGGUGUACUCUGUGUCUGCAAACUUAAAUUCCUCUUCUUUUAUUUAUUUCUAACUCCAUUCUCACAACCACCAUAUCUCUCUCUCUCUCGUGGUUCCUGUAUCUUCCAUGCGUGCCAUUGGUGUGUGCUUCCACGAUUCUCUAAAGUUUAGCCUGUGAAUUGAGUUGACAGUAAGAUUCUUUCUUUAUGCGUAUAAACUUUGAAGAAACGAGGAAGCACAUACCAGUGGCAGCGCAUAAACUCUCUUUGGGUUUCUGUACCCAGAGAAUUUUCUUGAAUAAGUUUCUUGUCAAGGAUGGAAAAAGAGUUUGUUCACUUGUCUGCUUCAUUUUGUGUGGUUAACAUAACCUUAAUUGCUUAAACUCUUAUUUUUUGCUGGUAAUCAAACACUCGUUUGCUUUAAGAGACUUAUGUAGUUAUGUAUGUAGCCGUCAACAAUUUCGGAGCCACCAUUAAGUCAAGUAUUUUCCAUCUUUUAACUGGUUCUCGUGAACCAAUUUCGUCCAACCACAUUUCCAAACAAAUACUACUCGCGCUUCUCGUUGAAUCUGACCCAUAUAACUAGAUUCUGAGAUCUCACCUUAAACAAUGUUUGUGCCAACAAGGUGUUCACACAAGUCUUGUGUAAGAAUAAGAUCAUGGUUGCUUAUCUUGGUAAGCGGAAUUUUUGUAAAAACUUUCAUACAAAUUUUCUAAUGAAUUAACUUAGGAAUAUGCGGUUUGUCUAAUCCAGAUUUUCGGUAAAAUAUAUAAAAAAAUAAUAAAGAAACUAGUAGUACGUAUACAUUUAUUGAUUUACGUUAUUAUUUUGUUCUCUUUUGUAUUAUCUCUGUUUCUCCGGAGAAACAGGGAAAAACUAGAGGGAGAGAAACCGUUAUGCUCUGCCUCUCUAAUUCGCUUAAGUUUUAUUACCAAUUUCUCUCUUCUUCUCUGUUUUCUCUUUCUUGCGUCCUAAGAAACUUGGGAAACACGAUAGAGAUGAAGAAGAUACCUUACGUCCAUCUAAACCUCCUUCUCCUUCUAUUACCUCUGAUCAAUCUUCAGUUUCCGACAUUAUCAUUGGCUCAAGACUACGAUGAACCAAAGAAGGAUGAUACUCCACCGCCAGGCCUUGCCCGUUGCAACGGAGUUUACAUGUCUUACAGUUCCGGCGGCCGCGAAAAGUUGUAUCCUCGCACCACAAACGCGACGGCUCAAGCUUGGUCGUUUAAAUCAACGGCCAUGAUCGUGAACACCGGUAUCGAAGAGGUCAAAGGUUGGCAAAUGUUCGUAGGGUUUCAUCACAGAGAGAUCAUCGUUUCCGCGACCGGAGCUGUCUCAUCUGACGGUGACUUUCCUGUCGAUGCAACCAACGGGACUACGUUUAUAGGGUCUCCGAACACGGAUCUAAAGACCUCAAUCCUGACAGCUGGCGAUUACACUCAGAUCUCAACCAAUAUCGAGAUAACCGGAACGGUUUUCGGCGGGAAAGGUACGGCUACGCCAAUGCCGAAAACCAUCAAGCUCACAAACGAUGGAUGGCAAUGUCCUGCAGCUACUUCUAAAGGUAACGAGACCUAACUCAUGAAAAAACCCUUAAUUUCUUGUCCGGGAAGAAACAAUAGGUCAUGAUCGGUUUUUCGAUUUGUUUGGUAUGUUUUCAUCGGCAGGUGAUACAAUGCAAGUUUGCUGCAAGAGGAACCCAAAGUUUAAAGCUAAAGAAAAGUUGAAAACCAAGUUCAUGCCUAGACAACACGGUGACCUGAAUAUAAUCUACGACGUUCUUCAAGCCUAUGCUAGCAGCUACAUGGCGCAGGUGAGUCGCCGGAUCCAUCAAUUGUAUCAAUAUAACCUCGAGAGAUUCAUAUAUACAUAAAGUAAUCCAAAAUUGAUUUGUUUUGGACAGGUGACUAUCGAUAACACUAGCCCGCUGGGACGGUUGGACCAUUGGAACUUGACAUGGGAGUGGAUGCGAGGAGAGUUCAUCUACUCGAUGCGUGGAGCCUACGCGGCCGAGAAAAACACGUUGGAAUGCUUAAGCAGCAAGGCGGGACAGUUCUACGGGGAUCUUGAUUUCUCCCAGGUUGCUAAUUGCCAGAAGAAACCAAUUAUCAAAGAUUUACCGGCUGAGAGAAAAGACGAUAAUGUCACCGGGAAAUUGCCUUUCUGCUGCAAGAAUGGUACUCUUUUGCCCACUCACAUGGAUCCUUCUAAAUCCAAAGCCAUUUUCCAGUUACAGGUUUGCCUCAAAACGUACCAUUUAUAGUUUUUGGUGACUAAAUUUAGGCGUAAAGACUAUUAAACCGGUUUUGAUGUUUGGUUUAGGUGUAUAAGGUGCCACCUGAUCAGAACAGAACAGCAUUCUUUCCUCCUCGAAACUGGAAAAUUGACGGUAUAGUGAAUCCGCAGUACAAAUGCGGACCACCUAUACGGGUAGACGCGACCCCGUUCCCUGACCCUAGCGGUCUCCAAGCCACAACCUACGCUAUCGCCAGCUGGCAAGUCAUCUGCAACAUAACCAAGCCUAAACCAAAAGCUGCACGUUGCUGCGUCUCUUUCUCAGCCUUCUACAACGACUCAGCCAUUCCUUGUAACACCUGCGCUUGCGGCUGCAAAGAUAUAGAUACCGACACUUGCAACGCCAAUGCCCGACCGCUUCUCCUCCCUCCAGACACGCUCUUGGUACCGUUUGAUAACCGGACACUCAAGGCAAAAGUAUGGGCAAAGCAGAAGCACAUGGCUGUUCCAAAGAAGCUUCCUUGUCCUGACAACUGUGGAAUCAGCUUAAACUGGCAUCUUAACUCGGAUUACGGUAAUGGGUGGUCCGCGCGAGUAACGUUGUUUAACUGGGGGAAUAAUGCAGUGGAGGAUUGGUUUGGGGCAUUGGAUUUAGGCAAAGCUGGUUUAGGGUAUGAGAAUAUUUACUCCUUCAAUGGAUCAAGAGUUCCACCAAAGAACCAGACCAUUUUCUUCCAAGGACUUCCCGGUAUGAACUACUUGAUUGGUAUCACAAACGGAACGAAUCCUGCAAGAGACCCGCAGAUUCCCGGGAAAAUGCAGUCGGUUAUCUCGUUUAAAAAGAAGAAUUUGGGGAGUUUGAAUAUCAUAGGAGGAGAUGGAUUUCCUAAAAGAGUUUUCUUCAAUGGGGAAGAAUGUGAGCUUCCCAAUUAUUUCCCUAAAAAGAGUUCCGGGAAGAGAUUAUCCAGUACCCGAUUCUUGCCCUCGAUUCUUCUCGCGAUCACAACAGUUCUUGCGAUCACUGAUCGCUUUUUAACCGGUGUGUAGAUGCUUUAGUUAAUUAUGUAAAUUGAUUUUUGUUUAGCCAUGCCAUGAUCAAGAAACUUGAAGAGAACGUUUUGUAUAUGUAUCUCUCUAUUCACAGUUUUGGUUGACCAAGAAACUUGUAUAUAUAAUCGAGAGGAACUAAUGCAGAUUGAUUCUCCCUUAUUAGUUAUUAUUACACUCUUGGCCUUUACUACAAAAUUGUGCUUCGUUCUUGAGGAUACGAUUAUGCAAGUCAUUUGGGCGCCAAUUUCUUUACUUCAUAAACCGAUUUCCUCUGUUUUUUGUUCUGUUUCUGGUACAAUAAACACGAACCAGAUAUUAUUACCUGAAACACUUCUUACUCCUAGUUUCAAAUAUUUCGACUUUUAGAACAGAAAUAAUCAUUGUAAACUUAAGAACAGUCUCUUUCCUUAUUCUGUUUAUUUUUCCAGUUGGUAAAUACAAAAAAAAAAAACUUAUGUUUGUUUGUAUAUAAAGGGAUUCAAUGUCAACUUUUAUGAACAGCUUAAAAAGUAUAUUUUUCUUGUGUGUGUGUGUAUGUGUAUAUGUAUUAAGGGUGAUUCAAGGCUCCAAGAUUCAUCCAGCUUACUUUUCACCCAUAGAAUCGUUAGAAAAAAAAGAUAGAGAGCGUCGGUUCCUCCCCAGAUCUUUUCAUAUCAAAAUGUGGAAUAUAGCAAAUCACAAAGCUUCUCAUGAUUCAGCAGCAGAAUCAUGAAUGUUCACCAAUGCUAUUUCUUAGCCUGCAAUAAGAGAGAAGACAACAGAAGAGAGAACUUUCAGGCCAAACUUUGAGAGAGACACAAGCCCAGACAGAUCAAAGAAACAUAGAAAUAACCUUUCUUAGAUAUCUCUUGUGAAUUUUUAUGGCCCCAGAACAUGUUUUCUUGGCAUCCAAGUUCCCAGUCAUGUCGUUAAGUAUCUUAACAACAUCGUCAAGUCCACGAGCUUCAGUCAUUAGCUUAUAACUCUUGUCUUUCAAGACACUGGCCACUAGAAAUACCGAUAUAGGCAAAGGACCUUCCGCACUUUUCCCUCCAUUCCUCAUGUUUUGCCUCUCAUACUUUCCACAUUGCUUAAUUGACUUCGGUUUACCUUUUAACCCUUCGGUUUUCUCACUCCCGCAUUGAUGUGCCUCAUAUACGUAAAAAAGAUCGGGGUCAUACUCGAGGGCCCACAUCAUCUGGAGGAAUAGGGUUUGGCAUGAGAUCAAUCCAAGAAAGAAAAAGACUAUUAUACAUAUAAGAGACAGUGAGACACAAAAAUCAAUCAUUACCUCCCAAAGGUACAGAGAGUCGCAAAAUGAGAAUUCUCUUCGGAAUUGAACCAUUAGCAUCCGAAUAGCAAAGAGAUAGUCACCUCCCCCCAGUUUAUCUGCAUUUAUGACUCACAGCUCGAUUAACCGCUGGAUAUAUACAUAUAGGCAAAGAAAUUGCAGUAGUAGUAGUAGUAGUACCUAGAUGUUGGUGAAGUUUGGGGUCAACAAUCUGAGUAAUCGAAGACAAAUGAGUAAGUUGAGCUUCAACUCCAACAGAUCUCCCGGUGCUACGGAAAUUUCCUCGCUUUUCAAUUCGAAAAAAUAAAACACGUUUAAUACAUCCUGAUUGCAGAGAGAUAGAUGUAAACAGUCCAUAUCAAAAACACAAAUACAUUGAGAAUAUGCAUAAGGUAAGUACCAAUCGACGCAUAAGCCGUUCAAAACACCAAAAGGCAUCAGCUUCGUCUUCAAGAAGAAUAAUCAUUGGGGAACAAAGAUCACUCAUUCCUGAUCAGAGCACGAGUACAUAGAUAAGAAUUUCUCAAGUAAAACUGGUUUUCAAACAAAUUAUACAAUGAUAUACACAUUCGGUUUUACCUUGACAAUACCCGACAUCGUUGUCUAUCCAGGCGUAAAUAGACAGAAUAUCCCAGAGCUUCGAUAAGUUCUCCUUUUUCUCAUAAAAUACCAAGGCCCUGUCUGUACGGUUCACAUCAAGACCUGAAAAAUAUAAAUUAAGCAACUGAGUGAACCAGCAGAUAUUCAGUAUAGUCUAGCCGCUGAUAGAGGAAGCCAUGACCAGUCACUAACCUAUCUGGUGAAGUGUUAGUAGCCACUGGGUAACUUUCUUAUCGAGAGGUCCACGACUGGUGAGCUCUUUAAAAAAAUCUGAACCAUUUGAGUUUGUACCUGAGAAACCCACAUGAAUACUUCAAAUGCCUAUUACAAGUUUAUGUAGAGUUCAACAUUAAAAUUUCCGUUAUAGAAAGGCAAAAUUUUACCUAAAUUUAUUUCCUGAAGUACAAGAGGAUCAUAGUUGGGUUGGCCAUUUUCAGAAAUUACAGGUGCGGUCAUAAAUCUUCCACUUCCAAUGACAGGAAACAUUUGCUUACACUCCUCCUUCCAAGAAGCAUACUGCAGUCUGACAGAAGAGAAGUAGCGGUAGGAUUCACAAAACUGAAUUGAUGGUUUAUGAAUUAAAAGUAAUAACCAUGUAGUUAUGCCAAAUGUGAUACAUAUAUAGAGGAAAUGUGGACAAAAAUCUACCUUCUGCGUUGCCGAAUUUGCUCUCUUUCUUCGAAUGUGCUCAUCGGGUCAUAACAACCAAGUAGGAAUUCCCAUACUUCGCCUCUAAUUGAUGGAUGGAUUCCCUACAGAUUGAUUGUAAAGGAAUUAAAGUAACAAAUGAAACGAUAAAUGAGUUGUGACAAAGACUUAUUCAAACUAACAUACCCCUCUUCGGAUUCGUCUUAGAGUCUUGCCAAUAUCGAGAGACCCUUCUUGUACAAAUACAGCCCGCCAUUUUCUUACACUUAGAGUUUUGCCAGGCUGCACAAACAUCAUAAAAUUGACCCGUGUUGUCAGCAACAAAGCAAGAAAUUCAUGGCCCCAACAUGAUGCAAUUAUUCAUGAUACAUUAGUUAUGACCACAAGACAUGGAAUGAUACAGGCUUUUCUGGCCUGUAAUGUUAAGGUUCAACCAGAGAAAAUGAUUCAAUCUAGUACCAACAUAGUAGCAAUGAAGCACAUAACCUAUCUUCCUGUGUUAUAUGUAUCUUCCUGGAGUCGAGAAGUUAAAUCCCCUCAAGCUUCUUUCAGGAAAAAGUGACAAUCUCACUAAACAAUCAUGUGAUGCUACUGAGAAAAGAUCCAACGAGAUCAAGAAUAGAUUAGAGAGCCUUAAACAGCUCCUAAGAUCAAUAUGUCCUAAGUAGGAAACAGAUUUCUGAGCAUAACAAUGGCAAUAACUUUCGUUCAAGGAGAAAUCAAACGCUAAGCUGAUGAGGCGAUCGAUCUUACAGAAUCAAACAAAUUCACAAGAGGGACAAGUGCAAUCACCAACGAAGAAGCAAAAUGAGGAUGAAUGCAUCGGAAGAGGUGGUAACCUUGAUUCUGAAUCUGGUCUUGGGGACAUCGGUGCACUCGGGACGAACUUGGUAAUAAGAAUCUGCUGGCUCAGCUGCGCCUCCCCACAUUCUAUCAAACUUUUUUCCCGGGAAAAAAACAACCAAGGAAAAAAUCCAGAGGAAACCAGAUACAGUGGAUCGGGAUCCCCUCAAAACUCAAAAGAUCGAUCAACGAUUAAUGAAGAAAUUAAAAGAUAUUUAGGGAAAUUUUUUUUGAGAAUUUAAGGAGGACCCAGCUUGGAGCUUAGUGGAUCGGAGUCUAAAGACAGAAACUUUUUGUGUUUCUUUCUUUCUGUCUUCGUAUAUUUAUUUUUUUGUCGUGUCUAUCUAUCAACUAAGUUUCUUGUAUCAUUCUUUUUCUGGAGAUGAUGAUUGAUGAGCUGGUCUCAUUACACAAUAGUUGUUGCCCACAAAUAACGGAGUUCCUCCAUCACUUCUCUCUAUCUUCUCCCACAUAGAGAGAGAGACACAGAGAGUCUUUUUUUCAUUCAUUCGUUUCCCAAAAAUAUCCAACAUAAAACGACGCCGUGUUAUUGAUUUUCUAUAUUGGGCUUUUAGUCCUCAUGGGUAGCUAAUGUUUGUGGAUCUUAUCAUGUUGGGCCUUUUUGAUAUUUAUUUACUAAUAUCAAAAAUACCAAACCCUAAAAAUGAUGGUAUAUAUAUUGCAAAACCUAAGCGCUUUCUUCCUCUGCUGUCGCUCGUCUACAUUUACACUCGGAGCUUAGAGACCUUCCAAUCUACCGGCGGCGAAAAUGGUGAGAUAUACUUUCUGCCUGAGCUUAUAUCUUGGUUUGUUCGUCUGUGUUAUACGUUAUUAUCUCCUGCUUUAGCUCGUGUUCAUAGCACAUUUCUGAUUUCUGUCUUCUAGAUCUUUUUGGUGGGGAUUAGGCUUUAGAUGUUUUCAAUCAAGUCGCGUUUGUGUAUUAGACAGAGACCAAAGGGUUGAGAUUUAAUAUUUUGUGGUGGUUGUUCAGGUUUUCAAGAGGUACGUUGAGAUCGGGAGAGUAGCACUUGUGAACUACGGCGAAGAUCAUGGAAAGCUCGUCGUUAUCGUCGACGUUGUUGACCAGAACAGAGUAAGUUCAUUUCAUUUCAGCUAUUUUACUGCUAGAUUCCGCAAUCUUACUGUGUUUGAUUCGGUAAAUUGUUUUAUUAAGGAAAAUUUUGAUUUAGCUUGAGACUUUGGUUGCAUAUUUGGUUGAAUCAUUGAUUGGAGCCGAUUGCAUUUCCUUGGUGAUUGUUGGGGCUUAAUAUAUUGACUUGGUGCUAUUGAGUUCUGAUUAUGUUCUCGUCAUUUAGGCUUUGGUGGACGCCCCUGAUAUGGAGAGGAUCCAGAUGAACUUCAAGAGGUUGUCUCUUACCGAUAUCGUGAUUGCCAUCAACCGAGUGCCAAAGAAGAAGGCUUUGAUUGAGGCAAUGGACAAGGCUGGUGAGUACUGUGCAAUGUAGUGUUUGAAUUUGUCAAGUGUUCCAAUCUAAACCGGAAAGUCUUGCAGAUGUGAAGAACAAGUGGGAGAAGAGCUCAUGGGGUAGGAAGCUUAUCGUGCAGAAACGUAGGGCUAACCUCAAUGAUUUUGAUAGGUUCAAGAUCAUGUUGGCCAAGAUCAAGGUCAGUGUGUUAAAUUGUCAGAUGUGGGAAAAUCUGUGGUCGUGUUGGUUUAUGUUAGAACUGAAAUGCUAAUGGCUUUUUUGUUUGUUUGCAGAAAGCUGGUGUUGUCAGGCAAGAGCUUGCAAAACUCAAGAAGGAGAUCACUGCCUGAUCAAAUAUUAUCUACAAUUCUGUUGUCUUUCUUUUUUAAUUUUGGAUUCGGAAAUUAGUGUUUUUGGAACUAUCAUCAUCAGUAUGUGCUCUAUUAUCCGACGUUAUUCAAGUUUGAAACCUUGUUUGAAAAACUCAAAGUUUUUGUUCUUUUGAUCUUAGUCUUACUUUCUUUUCUAUGGUUCUAUGUUAAGUUUCGAUACCAAGCUUAAAAUUGAAUCAAGCUAAGCUAACUAAACUAACCAUUAGUUUGAAGAGAACUCAUAAUUGUUACAAGAACAAGAUUUUCUUUUACAAUUGGUACAUACUUAACGUAAGUUAGUAGAGGAUGGGGAAGGACCUUCACAAGUCUAGUUUCAAACGUUGAAAGUUGAAGUUAUUGGAACGAACUAACACACAAGAAGCUGUAUUUUGUUAUUGGAAUUUGGAAGUAAAUUCCCCUGAUUUAAGUGAUAACAAUUUGUUUUACUAAAACUCCCAAAGACUUCAGAGACAUCGCUAAUACUUAUAUAUGUUCAAAAGGACAACAGUUUGCGAAAAUAUAACUGAAUUAUUUUGGUGACGUCUGGUUGUGUAUAUAUGGCAAAACUUUCUGACUCGUUACAGAGGAAAACGAAAUAAAACCCUUAGGAGAGCUUCAGAAGUUUUUACCAAGUUCUAUCUUUUUCAUCAGUGUCAUGGAGUGGUGGAGAAUAGAAUCCAAGAUUCCGGCCACCUGAAAAGAGGCAAACACACAGAGUCAUAUGGGAAUACAUUAAUGAAUAGUAACAAGAAGAAGAGGCUUUCAAACUUCUUUACUAACCGUGAAGACACCACCGAUAAUGGCGCAUACGUUGGUGAUGAAAUGUGAGAAGGACUUGGAGUUUUCCGUUAUGAGAACCUGCAUAGAAACAAAGAGAAAGAUAAGCAGAGUGUAAUUUUGCCCCACCUUACCAUCCCACACAUAUGUGAGUAAGGCAGUAAAAGAAAAUGUUGAAGCCUACCUGCAUCGGUGAUAGCUCAAAGUGAAACUUGGCAACUGGUAAAUAGUAACUAUGAGCAACGCUGCUAUGUGCUGUGUACUCAUACGCCUCAACCAAUGCCUGUCCAUUGCUUUUCACUACCUCAGUCUUUACUAUUUGAAGAUAAUGCUCGAUCUGUCCAUGGAAAACAACACCUUAAAGCAUGCUAGAAAGCAUAAUUAGACGAUUUGAAUACUAUUUUCUGAGUUAUACAAACUUACGGUAACAUUUGGGCCGAGAUCGCGUUGGUUUAUGAAGGGCCGGCCGUCCAAACGGUCAUGGCUUAGGCCGAGAUAAGGUGACAAGCGCUUUAACUCAGAAAAUUUCUGAGGCAUAAUCCUCUGCCCAAAUGAUAGAUGGUUAACAACAUGGGACAUAUUCAUCUGAGAAGAAUCAAAGGAAUGAGAUCCCGAGCGAGCUGAAACCAUUAAGUUGCCUGGAACCUGCAAUGACCAUAUAGUAGUAACUAUUAAAGUGUUUGAGCGGUCAAAAAAGCCAGACAGACAAAGCAAUAGUAGUUUCUCCCAUUCAAAUGCUUACCUUCUUUACACGUAUGUAUCCUUCAAUUCGACAUCCUCCUGUAGAAGGUGCCUUUUUUAGAGUUCUCGAUGAAUUGUCUGAUUUGUCCUCCAAUGCUAGAUUAUGGGGCUCUAGAUGGAUUGGUUCAACCACACUAACCACCAUCUAUAGGAGAAGGAAAAUAUUCAGAAACAAGCUACCAAUGAGGCGCAAACAGUGACUCUAGUCUAACUUUUCUAAGGGGCACGGAAUAGAAGUUGAAAAGAAACUUAGACCAACAGCUACCUUCACUAAGCUUUCCGUAUCACGAUCUCCAUAGUAGGAUUCAUGGUCGUGGUGUGCAUUGUCAUCCCUAUUAAGCAAAGGAAAGAAAAGAGGAGAAAAUAAAUUUUAGGAGAAUCCAGUAAAUGAUGGUCAUGCAUUAGAUGAACAAUUAAACUUUCUCUUACUUAAGAUCACUGCCUUUGCGGAAAAUACGAAUGGAUGGAUACCCUUGUAUGUGAUUCCUGGAUAUUAUUCGCAGAGGACAUUUCUGAGCCUGGAGCUAAAUAAGAGGCUGACCCUUUGAAAUCAUAAUGGUAAACCGGGAAUAUGUUUUUUCAUUCAUGUUCUUACAUCUUUCCCUAUGUAUGGUAUGUCUUUUUUUUUUUGGUUUGACCAUAACUAUCUUUUGACGAGGUACAUGCUAAUAUAUUACAUAAAAAAAGGGUGUUUAUACGAAGCCAAUACAAACUUAUAAAGUAACUGACAAUCCCUCCCUCUAUUUACGAAUAGAAAAUGCAUCUUAGACUUAAGUUACAGACAAAUGAGUUAACGACACCUCAUAUCCACAUAGUCACCAAUACAUUACUGGCAUAUUAGCCCACACUCUUGAAGACCCUACAGUUUCAAUUCAAAUUUUUUUGCACAAAUUCAAAUGACAUAUUCGGUGGAAAGGACUCUAAUAGCUUCUCUUGGUUAUUACUUUUUGCAUUGUAGUGGAUAUUAGUUAAGUUUAGUAGCUUAAGAAGUCAGGAUGGAAAACCAGAUAAAAUGUGAUAGGAUAUACCUCCGACAGAGAUCACCUUCUUGGGUGCAGUCAACUUUUGCCAAAAUAACACGUCCGUCCAUUUCUGGAUCAUAUCUACCAAAAACAAAAAAGUUAUAAGGAGAAAUAGUAUCACAUAUUCUUUCUCUAGAGAGAGUGUAAUGGCAUACCUCUCUUUUAUUUGUUUCGCUGCUUUCUCCCAUGAUGGUUUCUGACAAUGGAGACUAAAGUUAGAGUCUUCGCGUAAAGAUCAGCAAAAUUAUCACUUUAUUGUGCAUAAAUAUCACCAGAUACUAGUCUACUUCAUAAGUUUGAUAUUCAAUAUCAAAUUGAUCCUUAGAUAAGUCUAGUCUUUCCAUGAGGAAAUUAUUAAGACUACAGGAAAGAUUGACUGAGUUACUGUAAAUUGCAAUAUUAGCGCGUCUAAGGCACCAAACAUGUAGAAUUUCCUCAAGUGAGAAGGCUAAUAUGAGUCAUAUAACCCUUGCCAACAGGCACCAAAAUAUGCUUCUGGACGGAAAAUAUGCUGUGACAUCUAGAAUUUGUAGGAGACGAAGACAGAAGAUAAGGGAGUUACCAGGAGAUUACACCAAUAGCACCACGGAGCAUAGAAAUUAACAACCAAGAUUGGAAAUCUGCAAAAUGUAUGCUUCAUAUGUUGUCACCAGAAGCAAACAAGUACUUACUAGAAAUACAUUCCUAGUAUUUUUGUAUGUACGUAUAAAAUGCACAAUACAGACUUAAACUCCUUACUGAUGUGUAAAUGUGUCAAAGUUGCGCCCAGUAAGUGGUACCGAAUCUUCAACUACUUCUUCACCAGUUUCAUCUCCAUGAUUAAUGAGCGAUAAAACUUCCCCGACGUGAAACUCAGAACCAGUGGGUCUCAUAUUCGAAUCAAUAGAAAACUUCCGAAUUGUCUUUGUUACAUUUAGCCUGUUCUGAAAACAAAAGUUAGCAAAAUCAGGAGAGGGAACAACCGAUAAUUUUGGGUGACCUAAUGGACAAAUGUUCAGAAAGAAUAACAUUAAUUUCAAAGCCCACAUAUACGAUAGACUAUCUUUCACAGUUUGACAUUUUCGGAUUUCCCUUAAAAGAAAAUAUUGUACAGUCCAAACUUGUUGGACGUACAUGACAGAAAUUUAAAUACUUUAAAAACAAAGAAUUUUCAAGAGCAAUAGGAAAAAGAUAGAGACUUAAAAUGAACAAAUUAUGAAACCAAACUUACAGUUCCUAAUACGUCACUGACAUCCACAGAUGCGAAUUCACAUGAAAGUGACGGGAAGCUGCCAAAAAAUAGAAUCUGUAUCUGGUUAGCAAUCAGAUAGAUGCUGAACUUUGCAUGACUUUGAUUGGGCCACACAUGACAUUCUGAAGAGAUAAGGUAUGCACUCAACAAACAAUGGUUGCACAAGAUAACAUAACGUUCUAUCAUACAGAAGAGUAACAUUAUACAUACACUCUUUAACCUGUUAGAAUAUUGAAACUAUAAGAUUUGUAUUGAGAAACAAAGUUGAGUAUAAUGUACCUUAUGUUAAAAUCUAAGCGCAAGAAGUCUCCGUCAGCGCUCCUAUCAACAAUGACCGAUGUGGAAGUGCUGACAGCCAAAUAAUUAUUCAAUUCCUGUAAUAUGAAACUUGCAAAAUCAAAAUAACAUUCAUUUUUGCUAAUAGUAACAAAUUGAGCAUUUAUCAAAAUUAACGAUAAAAUGAAACUUGAACAACGCCACAGAAUGGUCAAAACCAGCAAGUCCAAACUUACCAUUCCAAAUAAAAAUAUCAUAGAGAGGGCUGCUAUAAUGGACAAUCCAGCACCAGACAGAGACGCUUCUGUCAAAUCCCUCGGGAUUUUCCUGCAGGCACAGAAAUUCCAAAGAAUAUAUAUGAAAUUUCUAGCAUUAUCGUCCAGAAUCACAAAUCUCAGAUUCUAUGGAACUUCGAAACAAUUUCCCCAAAAAUCUAAACUUAGCAAAAAAAAAAACGAAAUCGAAGUGACUAAUGAUGAUCUUAAACCCCAGAUAAUAAAACACUUUUGACAGUCCAAUUUCACUAAGAUAAAAUGACAACUUGACAAUGCACAUAAAAAAACCUACAACUUCAGGAUCGCCUGUUCACAGCUAAACCCUAUCACUAAUGAGCAAGAAAAUCCAGAAAAUGAAGAUACUCCCCAAGUAAAAUUCAGAGUAAACUAUCACUACAAAUCCUGUCACUGCCUAGAUCGAGGAAAUUCGAAAUCUAUGUAACAGGAGAAGGAAGCUGGAGGAAUCUAGGAAACGAAUACACAAGCAAACAAAGAAAGAAACCUAUAGAAAUCAACGGAUUUGAUCUUGCUCGUGGACACCAUUAUCGUCGGAGAAGGAGUCAACUGAGAAACAAGAACUGCUUGGCUAGUUCUCAAAGCUCCGAGGACGAAGCACCUCCCUUGUGAUUUAUCUUCAGCGUUCAGAUUUGAAACUCCUCAACAAUUUACUAAAUUACAACACUAGCCCCCUCUGCUUUGACUCCAUUUCCCAUUUGACCCAAAUACUUUUAUUAAAGCGAAUUAGGACCUUCUCAGUUCUCGCAUGUUUCUAUCAAACCCAUUUAUUAUAUCUCUAUAUUCGGCGCAAGACUGCAAACGAAUGUGCAACAAACAAUACACAAGUUUGAAUUUACAAUGAUCACCAUUCGAGAGCAGAGUUGUUUUUUUUAUGCAUUGGUGAAAUUAAGAUAUGAAAGGGAAAACAAGCUAAUUAAGUCAAGAACAAAACAGUUCGAAUUGCUUAUAAGAACAUCAUACGUUCCAUAGAACAUUCUUAUUAUUUAUAGGAUACAUUCAUAACAUUUAUUCUCUUCUUUUAACCCUCUGAUCCAAACUUUUGGAUUCCCGACCAUAAGCAAGAACUAACAAACUACAUGUAGAAGAAAUAUCACUAUGUGAAAAUGAAAGUAAUCUACUCUUUAAACUUCGAGAUACUUGAUUGCAGUCUGAACAUCCUUGUCGCCUCUCCCACUGAAGUUUAAGACCACUCUGGUUCCAUCAGAUAACGUCGGACAAAGCUUCUCUAGAUGGGCCAACGCGUGCGAUGUCUCUAGUGCCGGGAUUAUUCCCUCCAACCGAGACACUCUCUUGAAAGCUACAAGAGGAGAUAAGGAAAACACGAAUGCAAGUUCUCAUGAGAUGUGAAAGAAACAUAUAAAGUAAGAAAAUGAUGUGCUAAGUAAGUACCUUCUAAGGCUUCUUCAUCGGUAACGCUAUAGUACUCAGCCCGUCCCAUGUCUUUAAGGAAACUAUGCUCAGGUCCGACUCCAGGGUAAUCCAAUCUGAUAACAUGAACUUUUACUCUUUAGAUACAGGUGACCAAGUAAAUGUGGUUUAAAACCAACUUUGAACAGAGAAGAAUCUCUUACCCGGCACUGAUGGAGUGUGGUUCAAUGAUUUGGCCAUCAUCAUCUUGCAGCAAGUAACUCAUAGCUCCAUGGAGUACACCGACAUCUCCUUUUGUCAAUGUGGCAGCGUGUUUGCCGCUGUCCAAUCCAAAUCCAGCGGCUUCCACACCAAUCAUCCGAACCUCUGCGUCAUCGACAAAUUCAUGGAAGAGUCCCAUGGCAUUUGAACCACCACCGACACAAGCAACCAGAACAUCAGGCUUCCCGCCCCAUUUCUCCAUAGCUUGUCUCCUUGUUUCUUUACCAAUCACGGCAUGAAAGUCCCUGACCAUCAUAGGGUAAGGAUGAGGACCCGCAACGGAUCCCAAUAUGUAAUGUGUAGUCUCCACAUUUGUCACCCAAUCCCUUAUAGCUUCAGAAGUUGCGUCCUUUAAAGUGGCUGUUCCAGAGUGGACUCCCCUUACCUCAGCACCGAGAAGACGCAUCCUGAACACAUUAAGAGCUUGUCUCUCCAUGUCUUGAGCACCCAUGUAGAUAAUGCACUGCAACCCGAAACGUGCACACACUGUAGCUGUGGCUACGCCAUGUUGACCAGCCCCUGUCUCAGCAAUAAUCCGUUUCUUUCCUAGACGCUUGGCGAGAAGAGCCUGAGCCACAGCGUUGUUGAUCUUGUGAGCACCGGUGUGGUUCAAGUCUUCCCUUUUGAGGUAUAUGAGCGGUCCUUCCCCGUUUUCUCGGCGGUAAUGCUCUGUGAGCCUCUCUGCAAAGUAAAGAGGACUUUCCCGACCCACAUAGUCUUUCAAGAUCUCUGCCAAUUCUCUCUACAGUUUCAUCAGAACAUUAAUUGGACAUUGUAUAACAAACGAACUAACCAAAAAAGACUUCUAGAUUACAUCACACAGAAGCAUGUAUUGAUGAAGAAACUAUGAAUAUGAAAUGAAUGUCGUUUCCAGAUUUCUGGGUAAAUUACAACUCUUUCCCAGAAUUACAUCCUACAUCCUACAUCGCAAACAAAUCGAUUUGGCCCAGAAGCCUUAACAUUGAUUAGUUUUUCGAAAAAAUCCGCUUUUUAAACAUUUUCAUCACUCAUGCCAAUGACAACGCUUGAAUCAGAUACUCACAAAGCCAAAUCAUUUCGAAUCAAUCAAAAUCGAUGAACAAGAUGGAAACAAAAUCAGCCGACAUACCUGGAAAUCUUCGUCGGUGGCGAGCGAAUAGAAAGCCGUUUCGAGUUCAGAGAGGGCGUGCAUUAGAGUUUCGGGGACAUACUUCCCGCCAAACUUCCCGAACCGACCGAAUGAAUCGGGUCGUUGCCACAUGGUCGGAUCAGAUCCAGCGGCCUCCGUAUCCGCCAUGAAAACAGUCGGGUCCUUAGCGAUGGUGCAAGAGACGGAAAAAGAAGAAGAGGACCGUGAGCGAGACGAUGGCAGAGGCGUAAAUUUGGGGCGUUUGGAGGGCGAUCUCAGACGGGUUGCUUUGGAAGAAGCUGAAACGGAGGGUCUGAAAGUAGCAGCGGUGCCUGCGGUGGCCAUUAGUGAAUCUUUAUCUAUCUCUCAAACUCAAAGACAAAUGUUUUGCUGACAAAAACCUUGAAACUGUGGUUUUGUUUUAUAGAUUCGUUAUGUGACACUUACCUUUUUUUGACCAGAAAUUCAAUAAAAAAAAAUAGAGGAGGAAAUCAGUACCACGUUAACUUAUUUGCGAACAACAAAAAAAGGUUGGUGAGAAUAUGGCGGUGUAACAUCUUUGGGGGUUGGAUGUGUUUAUCACAUGCCUAAUUUGGUGUUAUCUAAUUUUUUUUUUGGUAAAUGUCCUCUUUGGACCAAAAGACGUAUAUCAGUUUUUGCAAAAAUGAUCAAGGCUUUCAAUAGUGCAAAAACGACGUACUAUUACUCCAUUUCGAACUAAAAUCAUAUACUUAUGGCUAAAUUAAUACAAGUAAACUAACUAUAUAAUUUUAGUUUCAUUUUAUGAUUUUAAAAACUUUUUUCAAUUUUUUUUUAUAAAUUUCCUAUAUUUUCACUUUGUAUUUAAAAUGUGGUUGAUCUUUUAAUGACCAACAUGAAUAUUUAUGAAAGUAAAACACUAUGGAAUUGGAAAAUAGCCAAAAUGACAUCCAUCGAUGUAAAUAUUCGAACUAAAAAAUUCUCAAAACCGGUAAGGUUUUGUCUCUCAUCGAACUCACCGUCUCAAGACAAGUCAAGAACUUGACUUUUGAUUUUGCAUGACCCCUGUUGGUCCGAUGAACCAUCAGCCUCUCAUCCAUUUAUGAUUGACUCACGUGCAUUAAACAACAGACGACGACCUUCGAGUCGUUGAAGCUACAUGAAUCCUAUAAGCACGCGGACAUGAGUUUUCAAAGUUAACACUCACUGAGAAGUCUCUCACUCGGUUGGAUUGAGCUCAGAAAAGUCUAAUCUUUUCUAUCAAAAUGUCCAUUGCUCGACUCUUUUUUUUUUGUUCACAAGUCCAUUCCUCGACUCUAACUCCGGACUGUUGAUCUUAAAGACACCAACAGCUAAGAGCAAUUACAAUUCCUUAUAAGCAUUCAUUAAUCAUUAAAGUACUGUUGUAAAUGUUGUACCAUGUAAAAUUCCUUAAACCAUUCAGUAAACUACACGUAUAUUAUUAAUUAAGCCAUGUUUUUUUUUAUAUACAGUUACGUCAACACAAGAAACCAACUUGACAUUUUGAAUAACAAAUUCUUUACUUAUUUUGAGGUUUUAAUUAAAAUUUUGAAAUAACAAAUUCACAAUUCAUAUUGUAGAACGUGUUGUCUCUAAAUGUGAAAAUGUUCUAACUUAUUUGCAUGUAUGUUUAUAUAUUACACGAAAUCUCGUAGCAGAAGAUUAAAAAAUCAAGCAAUCACACAAGAAUCCUCAUAUUAUUACAUUUUUUCGCCGCGAUUAUUAGUUUAAACUAUUUUUUCAUACUUUUGUCUUUCACACCCGAUUUUCCGCGACCAAUGGGAAAAACCAGAUACUGAAAAUAUAUUAAUUAUUUUAUGUUAAGAAUUUGAAAAAACUUGAAAAAGUUAAUACUGAUAAAAUUGAGCGACACAUUUCUUUAUUAUUCCAGUCUUAACUGUUACACUUUCGAGUGACAGAUCUCGUCUAUCUUCUCCAAUUCGUCUAUCUUCUUCUCCGAUUAAUCUCAUCUCUCGUCGGAGAUUUCGGAAUGAGCACACCUACAACUUCCGGUUCGGCGGCGAAACCGACGAGACCAGCAAGGUCGUCGAGUUUAGCAACUAGGUCAUCUUCCAAUUCCGGUUCCCUCACUUCAUUCCAAGCAAUGGUGGAGCUGAAGCAAAAGAUCCUUACCUCAAUCUCUAAGCUCGCCGAUCGAGAUACAUACCAGAUCGCCGUCGAAGAUCUUGAGAAAACUAUUCAAUCUCUCACUCCCGAAACCCUACCGAUGUUUCUCAAUUGUCUCUACGAUUCGUGCUCCGAUCCGAAACCUGCAGUGAAGAAGGAGUGUCUCCAUCUUCUCUCUUGCGUUUGUAGUCUCCAUUGCGAUUCGACGGCUGCGCAUCUCACUAAAAUCAUCGCUCAGAUAGUUAAACGGUUGAAGGAUUCUGAUUCUGGAGUUAGGGAUGCUUGUAGAGAUACGAUUGGUGCUUUGUCUGGGAUUUAUCUCAAGGGAAAAGAAGAGGGGACUAAUACUGGUUCAGCCUCAUUAGCGGUGGGUUUGUUCGUUAAGCCGUUGUUUGAGGCAAUGGGAGAGCAGAACAAAGUGGUACAAUCUGGAGCUGCAAUGUGUAUGGCUAGGAUGGUUGAAUCAGCAGCUAGUCCUCCAAUUACUUCUUUUCAAAAGCUUUGCCCUAAAAUUUGCAAGCUAUUGAGCAAUUCUAGUUUCCUUGCUAAGGCUUCUCUUUUGCCAGUUGUUUCAAGUCUCUCUCAGGUUUGCGCAUAAUCAUUUUAAUCUCCUUUUCAGGUUAUAGACAGUGCGCACUAUGUUUGUUGUGUUGGAUGGAAGAAUAUGUUGCGUUUUGAUAUUAGUGUGAGUAAGUAGAACACAAAGUUUUAGUCUAUAACACCUGACCUCACUACUUGAGGUUUAGUCUUAAUCCGACACUUUUUCUUUUAGUUGUUGCUGAAGUUUAGUGUUUUGAUUUGAGCUUACAAGUUUCAGUGAUGGGUUUAGCAUCGCUCCCUCUUUACUUUUGGUAGUUCAAUGCUAGUAGGUUCAUUGGUUUAAGUUGUCUAUGAAAAAGAGAAGUAAAGAGUAAUAAAUUUGAUUCAGGUGGGAGCCAUUGCACCUCAGAGCCUGGAGUCAUUGCUAGAAAGUAUCCAUGAUUGCCUUGGAAGUACAGAUUGGGUAACACGAAAGGCUGCGGCUGAGACCCUGACUGCAUUGGCAUCACAUUCAAGCGGUUUAAUUAAGGAAAAAACCGAUUCCACUAUUACCGUGCUUGAGACCUGGCGGUUUGACAAGGUAGCUAUCUUCUCUUUCUCUAAUUAAUAAAAUUCUACUAUUACUGUGUUUGAGACACAUUUUAUUUUACAAGGUAGCAACAUUUUUCAAGUAAUCUAAAGUCGUCCUGUUGUGAAGUAAACUUAAACCUCAUAAGCUCUUCAAUUCCGUGUGAAUGUCAUCAGACAUAUUUGUUAGUGGUUAUAGUACUUUUGGGACUUUCUCCUCAUUUGCUAUGCAGAUGAAACGCACAAGCAAGUAGCUUGAAAUUCCCACGAAGCCUUCCCUUUUGAUUGUUUACUAUAGGAUUUACAUAUCUCAAGGAUUUUCAGUCAUCUAUAAUUUUCUUUCACUACUGAGCGUUGAAAUGGGUGGAUGUUUUGUGAAAUGGUGGAUAUUAUUAUAAACUAUGAUGGAUAGCUACACAUUCAUCAAAAUUCUAUUACUUAGGAUAUUUAAUGAUCUUCUCAAGACAGUUUAAUGAUGGAAUUUUCUUGGACAGAUUAAACCUGUCAGGGAAAGUGUGACAGAGGCGCUGCAGUUAUGGAAGAAGAUUUCUGGAAAAUAUGUCGAUGGUGCUACAGAUGAGUCAAAGCUUUCAUCUGGUGAGCAGCUUGGAUCAGAGAAGAACGCAGAGAAAAGGUCUAAUCUAGCUGAUCUAAUGAAAAAUGAGGCAUCCGAUGGUUCCACACUUUCACCAGACUCUGCUUUUAAAGGAAAAGGAUGUCUUCCUGAAAAAGCAGUAGGACUGUUGAAGAAGAAAGCUCCUGUCCUAAGUGACAAAGAUUUUAAUCCUGAAUUUUUCCAGAGACUAGAAAGAAGGCAAUCCGUGGAAGUAGUAGUCCCUCGUAGAUGUAAAAACAAUUAUGAGGAAGAAUCAGGACUCGAUGAUCUCAAUGCCAUGGGAUCUUCCAAUCACUUCAAGAACACCCAAGCAGAUGAUAAACAGGUAAAAGGUAGGUUUGAUGGGAACGGAUCACAGGCAGGGACAUCUGUUGAUGAUAAGGCUGGUGUUGUAAACGGAAAAGAGGCACCUGGAAAUCACGCUCCUGUCUCCAAUACUGAUAACCAAUCUGAAGGAUCCUUCACAAGUAAUAGAGGAAAUUGGUCAGCCAUCCAGAGGCAGUUGUUGCAGCUAGAGAGACAACAGACAAAUCUUAUGAACAUGCUCCAAGAGUUUAUUGGUGGCUCACAUGACAGUAUGGUGACCUUGGAGGGCAGGGUAAGAGGUUUAGAAAGGAUUGUUGAAGACAUGGCAAGAGAUCUUUCGAUAUCAUCUGGUCGUAGGGGUAAUCUCACAGCUGGAUUUGGCAAAUAUAAUAGCUUUGCUAACUAUCCAACUGGAAAGUAUAAUGGUAGAGCUCCAGGGGACAGAGGCUCACAACCAGAUGGAGCUAUGAGGGGAAGAAUGUGGAAUUCGGACAUGGCGGAUGACUGGUUCAUACCUCCACAUGCUGCUUCCAGAAACGGACAAGCCGGGCCAAGAAGAUCACCUCGGUCAGAACAAUAUGAGAAUGAGCACAUGGGUAAUGGCAGGAGAGGGUGGGAUAAUAAAGCAUCUGGAACUAUUAGAUUUGGUGAAGGCCCUUCAGCAAGAAGUGUGUGGCAAGCAUCAAAGGAUGAAGCUACACUUGAAGCUAUUAGAGUAGCCGGCGAGGAUGGUGCAGUCCCUCGUCCGACCCGAGUGGCUGUUGCCCCUGAAGCUGAAGCCAUGGGAGAUGAUGAAAACGAAGGGCAGGAACGUGACCCGAUAUGGGCUUCAUGGAGUAAUGCAAUGCACUCACUCCGGGUUGGUGACAUUGAUGCUGCUUACGCAGAAGUCCUCUGUGCCGGUGACCAGCACUUGAUCAUCAAGCUGAUGGACAGGACGGGACCUUCUCUUGACCAGAUGUCAAAUGAGAUUGCAAAUGAAGCUUUAAACUUCAUCGCUCAGUUUUUACUGGAUCAUAAUCUCUACGACAUUUGCUUAUCUUGGAGUCAACAGGUACAUCUCUUAAGUACAUUGGUUGGGUUCCAAAGCAUCAUACCUAUGUUUCGUCUUUAACCUCUCUUUCUCUCUCUUUUUUUUUUUUUUUGCCAUUUGCAGCUGUUGGAACUGGUUUUACAAGACGGUGCAGACACGUUUGGAGUUCCAGUGGAACUGAAGACAGAGAUCUUGUACAACUUACAAGACGCGUGUUCGACGAUGGAUCCACCUGAAGACUGGGAAGGUCCUGCGCCGGAACAGCUCGUGGUGCAGUUGGCAUCAGUUUGGGAAAUCGAUCUCCAACAGUUUGACAAGUAAACAUGAGCUUGUGAUCAGAGCUUUAACUUGAGUACUGUUGUUGUUUAUAAUUUUAGUACAGACAUGAUUCGACAUCUAGAGUUUGAUUUUUCUUAUUAAAAUCCCCUAAAAGAUGACUGGAAUUGAUCAAAUAUUGCUUUGUAUUUGAGUUUAACAAUAUUUUGUUAUUCUUCCUUUUCCUUAAUUGAAAAAACCAGAACUUUGAAGAACAAAUAAUUAAAUAAGAUGAGGGAAAGUGGGAAAUAAGAACAAACAAGUUUCCACCGUAUGUUUCUUAGUAAUUUUAGUUUAUUUAUAUAUGAAUUACUUUAAAAAAUAUCAUUAACAAAUCCCUAAUGUUUAUAAAGAUUUAUUAAAUAAAGUUUUGGCCAGAUAAAAUUAAUUAAUUUAAAAUAGCUCUGUGGAAGCUUGGUGGGCCCAUAACCACAUAUUUUCUUUUUUCUUUUUCUUCUUCUCUCUCGCACCAAUUUUGUGAAAUCGAAUUAGAAUUGUUUUCGAGUUGGGGAAAAGAUCGAGCAAAGAUCACUCUGAAUCAAUCGAUUAGCUAUUAUGGGAGUUGAUAAAGGAAAAGGUUUAUCGGAAAACGUCUCAAGUUCCGGUGAUUUCUUCUUUCGUGCUGGUCCGUCCUUGACCCGUGAUAGUGCCAUGACUCCAAGUAGCUCGCAUGGUUAGUUCGCUAAUCUUUUUUGAAAUCGAUUGAUUUUGUAAUAGACGGAUGAUUCCAACUAGUUCGUGUGGUUGGUUCUUGUAUUGCUAGGGUUUCCGGGUUCUUGUAGAUUGGUGUUUUGAGUAUAUGUUUUUCUAGUAUUGGCUUAGACUGUUGCUUGCUUGCUUUGUGAUCCUUCUUUUGGUACAAACUCUCUCUGUCAUUCUUUAAUAGAAUUGUCAAGUACAUGCUAACAAGUUUACUUUCUUCUUCUUCUUUUUCUUCUUGUUUUAUCACAGUUCCCUUUCUCAGCACACGAUAUCCAUUGCGCAUGCCGCUGCGUUACGGAUGUGCAUUGUUCGGAUGCUCAUUGCCGGUGCCCACUUCAGAAAAAAGAUACUGUUGCGAGAGUCAUGAGAUCAUGGCUACUCAAAUGGAUGCCAUGUCCGGUGCGUGCAUUUUCUUCGAUGGUUUGAAGACUGUGGACGUGAGCCUAUGUACUGCAUUGCUGCACAGAACAAGGGGUGGAACAGGUGUAGGAGUUCCAACAUCUCCUGAAGUAUCUUCGCUGUUCUCCCAUGGGAGCUCGGCCCUGAAUUCCACCUGCAGCCUCUCCCUGGCGAAGCAUGUAGGAGCUGGGCGUUCUUCUGUAAAGACCCUCCCAAAAAGAUAUACCCUACAAUGGGUGAGACUUCAUUUUCCUGGAAAAUGAAGGAAUACUUUGAUAUAAUGGUUGAUACAGCUGAAGUGUCUGUUGUCAGACACUCCCUCACUGCCACUGCAUCUUCAAAAGCUCGAGUGAAACAGGGCGACUGGGGACUUCUCCGAUACUCCCACAUGGGUGUCUACCUGUUUUGCCUGACUCUAAAUGCAUCCAGAUCAACUCUUACGCGAACUGCAGCAGCAAAGGAGGGCAGUGGAUUACAGGUUAUGUUUGAUAGUUUUGUUUCUUCUUUACUGAACAUUGGUAAAAGGAAACGUAAAGAGCGAAUUGCCUUGAUGUCUGGCAAGCGAUGGGGCUCUUUGAAGAUCACUGAGGGGUCCAAAAACUCUGCAGAGUCUAAGUCUGGAGUCGAGAUGUUUAAGGAAAUAAGGGACUAUAUUGUGAAACUAGGGUCGGAGGCGCUCACUGAAGAUUUGGAAAUAGAAGUGAGGUACAAAAUUCAAGCACUCUCAGCAGAUGCAGUUGCGUGGUUUGAUCAGAAUGAGGCUGCAGACUUAGAUGAUUGGAGGGCAAAAGCCAAUGAGUUCGAGACAGCUUUGCAUGAACUCAAGAGGGCAUGAAUCAAUGUCGGUGUAAGUGAAUAUAAACUGUAGGUGUAGGCAGAACCAUAAAUAGUAGGAGUAGUAAAACCAAUCAGGGUGUUUCACGUUGGUUACUGCAAUUUUUUUUGUUUAGAGACCAGAUUGUGGUUAUUUUUUUUUUAGGCCAGCCCAUUAUUCAUUUCAUUUGGAACGCUUUGAACAUAAUGAUGUUUUGACGCUUUAAUCAACUUGGGAAUUGGGAUCUUGAUCAAAUGGUUUCAGUUUUCCAAAUUUUUUCCAUCUCACUCUGUUUUGUUGUGUAGACAAAUAUGCAUAUAUGGCUUUGGCAAACAAAAUUUCUAAACUCCAACCCGUUUGUAAAAUAAAUAAGAAAAAUGAUGAAAUUAGAGAGGCUGUGAGAAGGGAUAAUAAACAGCGGUUUAGUCUCAUAAAUGAGAAUGGAGAGCUCUUCAUUGACGCUUACCGGCUGAGUCAGAAAAGUUACUUAAACCAAUACUGUCACCAGAAGAAGCUCCACUGUGUGUACAUGGAACUUAAAGGAAGAAUUUGGAAUCCAUCUUAGCAUCGGGCUUAAAGCGCAUGAGUAGAAUGCAUGUUCACUUCUCUUGUGGCUUACGAACAGAUGGUGAAGUGAUUAGUGGCAUGAGAAGGAAUGUAAAUUUUAUAAUCUUCCUCGACAUCAAGAAAGAUCUUGAAGAUGGGAUUGCGUUCUAAAUUUCAGACAACAAAGUGAUUUUGACUGAAGGCAUUGAUGGUGUAGUAUCCGUCGAUUACUUCCAGAAGAUCGAGAGUCUUGGCCUGAUCGGCAAUCCAUACCUUUGUGAUUCAUAUAAUUCAACAUCACCAUUUUAAAUGUAGAAAAAGGAAUUCUCUUCUCACAAACGCAGGGAUUCUCUUCUCCGACAGGUAACAACACAAUGCUCUGUUAUUAACUCACCAAUUCCUGCAACUCUUUUUCUUACGGCUUUUCCCGAAACUUUUUUGCAAAAUUCUUUUUAAAGAUGGUUCCUUUUGGGGCUACCGGUGGAUUUUUCAAAUUCAAAUAAAGUUUUAGAGAUGAGGUUAAGUUUAGUUACAAAGAGUUUUAAUUUCAUUCUUUGUAUUCUCUAUUGGUAAAGUUGUUAUUUCUUCAAGACAGAAAUUGUAGUUUUUGUACUAUGGACAAACGUAUAAUCUCUACAGACAAAAUCAAUCAUCGUGCCUCUGAUGAACGGGUGCGAUUAGAAGAUCGUGAAGGUGUGACUGAAGAUAAUUGUCUUGGAGCUAUUAGGAAGCUAGAGGUAUAUGAGUUGUGUAUUUCUCAGCUAAUGUAUAGUUAUUAUUAGAAUUUGAAUACAUUAGCUAAUGUAUAGUUAUAACUAGACUUUCUGUUAUCUGCAUCUCUUCUUUAUACCUUUCAUCCCCGUCUAUUUCCUUACGUUUUAAGAUAAGCAUGAUCUAGAUGCGAUGAAGUUAUGCAUAGGUGGUGUUUGUGUGUGAAACAAUGUUUAUAGUUAAAGUUAGCCCUGAUGUCCAAACAAGUGAUUAGCAGUCACUAGUUAACCAUGGUGCAAAGAACUCUACCAAAACAAAUCCAUUAGAAUUAAGAAACUGCAACAAGGAACAAAUUAAGAACACUAAUACAGUUUCACUGAUUUCCGACCGUCCGAUUGAUGUUGAGAUUGGUAGUGCAGAUGACAUUGAAGAGAGAAUCUCCGGAAUCUGUGAGGCAUUGCAGGGGACGAAGAAAGCUCUGAGAGAAUCAGAGAGCUGAAACUUGUCGAGGAAGAAGAAGAGAACCUGCGGUUCUUUUGCUACAAAAUGAAGUCAUUCCCACAAUGACACACGAACCCUUUUCCGGGCGAAUCCAAAUACUUGAAAUUUGGGCAUUGUUGGGCCUUAGGAAGCCCAAACUUGUUUAUAAAGCUUCUGUUAUUUACAUUCUGCAACGUCGUUUCUUAGACUCCUACUACCAAAAAAAAAUCGUCUCUGGUUCUCUUUCUUUGUUAACAAACCCAUCGAAAGAAUUGAUCAAUGGAAUGAAACUUUAUUCCUCUUCUUCCUCUAAACUCUUUGGUCAAUUCCUUCUUCUUUCAAUUCGAUUGUGUGCUAAGAUCCAUCUUGGGGUAUAAUCAGAAUCUUGUUGCCCCGGAUCUGGACUGGCAUCAUCAUCGACAUCCUUCUCUUUCUUCAAUUCGGUAAGAGUUCUUCGAGCAGACUCUAGAUUCGGUUUAAACCAAUUGUUUUUUUGUUGUCGUGUUCUUGCUCUCAAUUUCUGGGUAACCAAGUUUGAGCUUAUUCCUUUUGAUUCUGCUCGGAUCUCUGAUUCUUUUAGGUGAGAUUCCUAUACAUGUCAAUUACAGCUUUUUUUUUUAACAUUUCUCAAUUUUCUUGAGUUGGUAACGUUUUCGAGAUUUUGUUGAUUAGUGCAAGACGACAAGUGAUGAAAAGACAGAGACAAAGGCUUCAAGUUUGUUGAUAACCCUGUCUAAAGAGUUACCUUGAGAGAUUCUGACAUAACAGGAAAAAAAGUUAAAAUACUCAACACUUGCUUGGAAUUUAAAACCCUUAAAAUAGUUUUUUAGUGAUUUGGUUUUGAAAAUUUUCUAUUUCUUUUGCAGGUCAUAAGAAGAAAAGACUUUAUUAGUCUGUCUCUAUGGAUACAGAUCUGAUCAGCAGUCUACCCGAUGAUGUUCUUGGCAAAAUCCUGUCUUUAGUUCCGACAAAGCUUGCUGCUGCAACGUCGGUUCUGUCCAAGAGGUGGAGGAAUCUGCUUCCUCUUGUAGAUAGCCUCGAUUUUGAUGAAUCCAUGCUUUUUUAUCCCGACAACAAAGACGGAGAAGACGAAGCAUCUAGUGACGAGAGUGGUCUACGUCGACGUCAUCGCUUCUCUCAUUUCGUGGACAAAACGCUUGCUCUGUUAAACAAUGCUCCGCUUAUCAAGAAAUUCUCUCUGAAAUGCUUUUAUGAAAAUGAUGAAGCUCGUAUCAACAGUUGGAUUCGCACCGCUCUAGAACGUGGCUGCUUGGAGCUAAAAUUAGAGGCAGCCAAUUAUCUAUGUAUAGAUUCUCAGUAUUUCACUAGCAACACACUGGUUAAACUCACCAUUUCCGAUGGAUUUUAUCCUGAAGGCCAUCUUCCUUUUGGGGGUGUGUUUUUCCCUGCGCUCAAAACACUUACUCUCGUUGAAGUUUCGUUUGCAAGUCGUGACAUGCUUGAAUUCUUCAUCCAUGGAUGCCCUGCGCUUGAGGAAUUAUUCCUAUGCGUUUGGAUGCAAUACUUGUCAAGUCCAAAUGUCAAGCGAGUUACCAUCACUAGUGAUUUUGAUGAUAAUGUUUACCAACUUCCUAGCAUUAGGAUUAAGACACCGAGUCUUAUGUACCUUGACUACUCGAGUUAUGUCGCGGGAGAUUAUUAUGUUGUUUUGGAUUCGCUAGUCGAAGCUAGACUGGAUCUUCGAUUAUAUGAGUCAAUCAUCUAUGAUGAUGAUGGUUCAUUGUGGAAUGAAGAAGUUUUUGGCAAUGUUACGAAUCUGAUUGAGGGGAUCAGAACCAUUAAGAGCCUUCACUUGUCUCCUAAUUCUCUAGAGGUCAGUUUUGCUACUUCUUCUCUUGAGCCCUCACAUGCAGGAGAGAGCCAGUCUAGUGCUAGCUAGCAAGGUCUAUAACUUAUUAGUAAUAUGGCUUAUAUAUAUAUAUAUAUAUAUCAGGUGUUUUACUUUUGUUGUGAUUCGGAUUUCAUGCCGGUGUUGGAAGAUCUCGUUAAUUUAGCUAUCGAAAGUGACAAGGAAAAAGGCUGGGAAGUAAUGCCAAGCCUGCUCAACAAGUCCCCAAAUCUACAAACUUUAGUCAUCAAGGUAUUAUCAUCUUUUGAAGAAAACACACAUAAUUCUUUUCUUUGCUGUCAUUGUACAUGUCAAAUGGUGGUGUGGUUUCAGGGUCUUGUGCACAGAGUUACAGAUUGUUGUGGAGACGCGUGCGCUUGCAUCCGUAUGAAGGACAGGGAGAUAGUAUCCUGUUUGUCGAGGUGUCGAGUGAAGGUGCUUGAGAUUCUUGGGUACGGAGGAAGUUUUAGAGAGCUGAAACAGAUGAGGCAUUUCUUGGGGAAGUUGAGAUGUCUUGAAACUGUGAAAGUUGGCGUUAAAGAGGACAGCAAAAAGAGUAACUACUUGGUAGCUAAUGUAAUGGCUCUCCCCAGAGUUUCAUCAAAAUGCAAAAUUCAGUUCAUCUGAUUUUUCCCUCUUUCUCUUUCUCUCUCGUGGUUAUGCAUUUGUUUUAUAGUUUAAAGUUUAGAAAUUUGUUUUUGCAAAAGCAUAUAUGCAUUCUUUUCAAAAUUUCGUUUAAAAAAGAUGAUCUAGAGAAACAGUAAUUAUGAUAGUUCAAGCUGCGUUUAACAGUGAGAAUAAAAUAGAAGGACAAUGAUGAAGAAAUGUCAAAAAAAAAAAAAAGAAAAUAAAAGAUUCGGAUAUAUCAGAACCAGGUUUCGAUCCUGGGACCUGUGGGUUAUGGGCCCACCACGCUUCCGCUGCGCCACUCUGAUGUUUUGAUUACCUUGAAAGUAAAAACUAUAAAUAUAUUUCGUAUUCUCAAAUUCCAAUUCUUUUCUCGAACAUUAUGUUCCCCCAACCGGAAGAGAAAUUCAAAGAUCUGAAAACAGUGAAAGAUGCGACGACGACCAGGAAUCGGAGGAUUGCAAAAGGCCGCAGCUGCUAGGGUUUCACUCCUAAACCCAAUUUCAUAUUUUUCUCUCGAUUCUAAGUUGAUUUUUGCGCUUUUUAACUCCUUAUCUAUCUAUCAAAAACAGGAUCAGUACAGGUUACUAGGAGAAAAUGUAGCCAAGUUACGCACUGAUAUGAUGAAAGAACAGCUCGCCACGUUCCGUUCCCAGCUUGAAGAGUUUGCUCGUAAACACAAGGUCGUUAUUUGCUCUUGUUAUGUCAUCGUCUUGAUUUCGUAUUAAGAACUUGUAGUUCAUGUUGGAAUUGAUAAAAUUUGUGGUAAUUUUGUCUUUGGUUGCAGAAUGACAUUCGUAAGAAUCCAGCCUUCAGGGCUCAAUUCCAUGAAAUGUGUUCUAACAUUGGUGUGGAUCCUCUUGCUUCCAACAAGGGUUUCUGGGCUGAGCUCCUUGGAAUUGGUGACUUCUACUAUGAACUUGGUAUGUUUCCUCUCCUUUCUAGCGCCACUGAAGAAGAUGCUUCUUCUUUUUGGUUAGCUAUGAUUCAUAAGUCCAUGUCUGGAUAAGGGAAAUAGAAAUCUCGUGUAUGGAAAAUGGCAUAUGUGUGUAGUUAUCUUUUUUUUGGUUAGCUAUGAUUCAUAAGUUCUUAAAUUAAUCAAACAGGAGUUCAGAUUAUUGAGGUUUGCAUGCUUACAAGGUCACACAAUGGAGGUUUGAUCAGCUUGCAAGAGCUCUGCAACCAUCUUCGUCAAAGAAGGAAGAAGGAUCGUGAAGCUGUGACUGAAGAUGAUUGUCUUCGAGCUAUUAGCAAGCUAAAGGUAUCUAUCUAUCUGAGUUGUGUUUUUCUUUUUCUUUUAGAUUUUUGAUAAACUGGAAAUAUUUGAACUGUUCUUGCUGGUAUCUUGGGAUUUUCUCCUCAGGUACUGGGUAGUGGAUUUGAGGUUAUCACAAUUGGGAAGAAAAAGCUUGUCCGUUCAGUACCCACGGAGUUGAACAAAGACCAUAACCAGAUCUUGGAGUUGGCUCAGGUUAUAAUCAUAAUGAUACAUAUUUCCCCAAACGAAAACAACUUUUACAUGUUUUACAUUAUAUCUUAGAAGUUCUACCUGAAGUGACUCAAGGAUUUCUGUUGCUUUCCACACAGGGCCAAGGCUUUGUGAUUGUGGAAGAGGUACAAAGACGCCUCUCAUGGACAUCUGGUCGGGUUAUAGAUGCUCUCGAAACUUUGUUAGAAGUAUGCAUUUGCAUUUCAUUUCCCCAAUUGGAUUAUGUGCUUUGAUACUUAUAUUAUACUGAUAGAUGCAAUGCAAUCUAUGAGAGUCCUGAAACCUUGCAAUAUUAUAAUUCAUUUUCAGGAGGGCCUUGCGAUGAUCGACAACGGCCAUAAAGACGGAAAGUGUCGGUACUGGUUUCCCUGUGUUUCUUCUGUUUACUCAUCCAUCGGAUCUGAUACUUAACCUGGUACAUGCUCUGUUUUUUUUUACUUGUUUUAUAUUAAAUACAGUCACACUUUAUUACAUACUGUAUAAAUUAUGAAGAAAUCUCUUCAUUAUAUUACUUAAAUUUUCUUGUACAUUUAUCAAGAAUUGUUUAUUUCAUAGACCACCUUGUAAAAAAAUUAUUUAUGCUUGGUCGUUGGAGAUCUCGGUUUCUUCUGUCCAGUCAGAGUUUGGUUCACUCCAUGACCUAGGUCUCACCCCAAGCUGGAAAUAAAACACCAUCUCCAAUGCCUCAAAGACCUUACUCUCAUCCAAAACACUGUUCCAUGCCCCACUCACGAUGCAGUAAUUGUUGUUAUACGGUGCUCGAUGAUGUUCUGCGUGCUGUCUCCGUGAAACAAGCAACCCCAUGUCCUGCAACGCCACCACGAGAGGUGGAAGCUUGCUCUUGGUUCCAUGUGCCCAAGCAUGGAAUUGCUGGCUAAACAUUAUGCAAAAUGCAAAUGUGCACACAAAGCCGUGAAAGACAGGGUCGUUAAAUGCAAGGUCUAGUGGGAGAACUG
rnacentral:lncRNA from 1 species